CAAGAUUUCUGCACUCACAUCUUGAAAUCCAAAUUCAAGAUUUUAAAGAAAUUUCUGAGCUCAAUCACUAUUAUGGCUUGGGCUGCUGUGACAUCUGCAGUGACAACAAUUGGCAACCUGCUAACUCAGGAAGCCAUAUACCUAUGGGGUGUGGAGGAGCAAGUUGAUCGUCUGCAAACAGAGCUCAAAUGGAUGCAAAGCUCCUUAAUGGAGGCAGAGACAAAACAAUCAACGGAUGAGAGGAUUCGUCUUUGGGUUGCUGAAAUCAGAGAGCUUGCUUAUGAUGCUGAGGAUGUUGUCGAGGAAUUUGCUCUCAAGAUUGGAUCCAAAAACAAAGGAGGUCUUCCGAGUUGUAUUAAAAGAUCAGCCUGCUGUUUGAAAGAGGGAUGGAUGCUCCACAAAACCAGGUCAAAAAUCGAGAAAAUCAUAGAAAGAAUCAACGACUUGGUCCGACGACUACAGGCCUACGGAGUAAAGGAAUUAAAGAACAGAGGAGAAGAAUCAAGUUCUUCAACUGAAAGACGAGAAUCAAGGCGGCCUUAUCCACAUAUUAUGGAUGAUAAUAUUGUUGGACUAGUUGAUGAUACCAAGGGGUUGGUCAAAGUUCUUACGAACGAAAGUGGAUGCAAGGUUGUUACAAUAUGGGGCAUGGGUGGUCUGGGAAAGACCACUCUCGCCAAGAAAAUAUAUCACCAUCGUCAGGUUAUUGAUUAUUUCGAUCACUUGGCUUUUGUAUAUGUUUCUCAACCAUGCCGGAAAAGAAAUGUUUGGGAAGACAUUCUAUCUGGUUUCAAAAUUUUAGAUGACAGGAAGAUAACAGAUGAAGCAUUAGCAGAGAAGUUGUGUAAAACUUUGGAGGAUAAAAAGUGUCUGGUGAUACUUGAUGAUGUUUGGACCAGUGAAGCUUGGGAUAGUCUAAAACCUGCCUUUCCAGUUGCAACGGGCCGUGAUAGCACUAGCAAGAUAUUGCUCACCUCUAGAAACAAGGGGAUAGUUUCAGAUGCUGACAUAAGAGGUAAAAUUUUCUUAAUUAGGUAAAGUUGAAUACUCUUAUUCCUUUUAUGGAAAAUAAGAGGUAAAAUUUUCUUAAUUAGGUAAAGUUGAAUACUCUUAUUCCUUUUAUGGAAAAUAACUAUGUAUAUUAUUUCAGAGUUGAAGUGCCUAAACGAUCAACAAAGUUGGGAAUUGUUUCAAAAGAUUGUAUUUCCUCAAACAGGUAAAUAUACAUAUAGCAAAAUUCUUGUUAUAUGCUAAAUUUAUUUUUCAUUUUUAAACUUUUUUGACAAUAAUUAAAAUUAAAAAUAUAUAAAAUCUAUUUUAUUUAAAAAUUUCAAAACCUUAAUAUGAAAUAAAUAAAAGAAAUCAAGGUUUUGGGGUUUAUCAAUUAAUGGUACACGCAUGCAAAUAUAAUUAAUAGGUAAAUUCAUUAUCUUUUAUAUUAUAAUUUUUUAAUAACUUGCUAUCACUUACCGGGAAUAAAUUAUAUUAGGAUCAUCUUAAAAAAUAUAAUUUUUAGGCACCAACAAAAUAAUGUCACAUGUUAAAUUUUUAAGAUAACAAAGAAUUAUUGUACACUCAUUUGUAUUUAAUAUUUUCUCCAACUUAAUUUAACUUUAAUUAAAUUAUUUAAAAUAAUUAAUUUUUUAAAUUAUAAACAAACAUCUUUUCUUCUUUUACAAGUUUUAAUCAUUUUGUUUUUUUCAUAAGUUAAAAAUUUUUAUUUUUGUGCAACCAAUUUUUAAAAAAUAGUAAUUUUUGUGUAAUAUUUUUCAUGUCAUUGAACAUAAAUUUGAUAAUUAUUUUAUCCUGAACCCAAAACCCCGAACCUUGAACUCGNNNNNNNNNNNNNNNNNNNNNNNNNNNNNNNNNNNNNNNNNNNNNNNNNNNNNNNNNNNNNNNNNNNNNNNNNNNNNNNNNNNNNNNNNNNNNNNNNNNNAACCCCGAAUCUCAUAGUUUAAGGUUUGGAUUUGAGAUUUAAAGUUCAGAAUUCGAGGUUCAAGUUUAAAGUUCAAAGGUUCAGGGUUAUGGGUUACGAGUUUAGGUUAUGGUUCAAGGGUUUGGGGUUGCAAGCUUGAAAUUUUAUGUUUUGGAUCUAGGGUUUAGGAUUAUAGAUUCAAGGUAAAAAAAUUACCAAAAUUAUGUGUCAAUGACAUGGAAAAAAUUGUUGAAAUGUUGUUAAAUAAUUGGAAAGGGACCAUGAAUAAUGUGAUCAGAAGAGUCCAUAAAAUAAUUUCUCUAUGGAUGAGUGUAUAAUAAUUCAUGUCUUUAAAAUUUGAAAAUGUGACAAAAAAAUUUUUAAUUUUUAGGAUCAUUCUAAUGUAAAUUAUUACCUUAUCUUAAUUAUUGGACUAUAUGUUUGUUUAGUUUCUUAAGCACUUUCAUGGUAUUCUUUUAUAUGUUUAUCCUGGAUCCUUGCAUCAGAAAGAUGGAGGCGCAGGUAAACCAUUGUUAUCAAGAGUAAAGCCCAAGAAAGAUGUAGUUGAUUUGAACAACCAGCACAUCUCUUUACGACCCUAUUUAGCAAACCAAUCCGCUAACCUAUUGGCUUCUCGUCUGAUAACAUUGACUUUCAAAGAAGAAAGUUGCAUGACCAGCUUAUCAAAAACCUGAAGGACUAGCCUUAAUCUCCAUCUUCGAUCUUGACUUUUCUUCUUAAUAUUAGAAGCAAUAGUCUGGGAGUCAGUCUUGAUUGUCACAUUGGUCCAUUUUUUCUUCAUAGCUAAUUCAAUCCAUCCAACCAUAGCUUUAGCCUCGACAACCUCACAUGAAUCCACUUAAUCCUUUUACCAAUCCCAUCCAGAAUCUUCCCACUUAAAUUUCUGCCUAUUUCUCUAAUACCAACACAAGCUAUUAAGGUGUCGAAUGCCCCAUCACAAUUAACUUUAACCCAACCUUGUGGUGGUUUCUCCCAAAUAUCAGCACAAGUAUUUGACUUCCUAGUUCGAUCAGAGUUAUUGUUUGAACAGAGGAUCCAUUGAGCAGAUAAGAAUUCAUUCAUGGAGCAAUUAAUCCUUCGAAUAAUUCUCUCCAAACCAAGUUUCACACCUCCAAUUGUAACCUCACACCUAGCUUUGUAACAACUUUGAGAACCAUCUGUCAAAUGAUUGAGUUUGAUCAUUUAGCCCUUGAAGACCAAAACAAGCCUCAUACUAUAUUCCCCUAACCCAAUUACAACUAAGAAAAAUAUGUUCAAAGUCUCAUCUUCAAUACCACAUAAACAACAAAUUGGGUUCGAAACAUACUUUCUUUUCCACGGAUUAAAACGAGAUGGAAUAGCAUUAUGACACAAUUUCCAUAAGAAAACUUUAAAUUUGUUCGGUACCUGUAAGCUCCAAAUAGCUUUCCAAGUGCUCCUAUCAAUUAAGUGAGAGCUGGAAGGUUGUAAAGAAGACUCAUUUCCAUAGUGCUUUCUCAACUUCUUGUACCCUGACUUCAUCGAAUAUUGAUCAACAGCUGUAAAUGGCCACACCAAUUUAUCUUGCUCAUCUGUUUCACGAAGAGGAACUUUUAAUUUCCCAAUUUCAAUAUCUUCUAACCACAUUGAAAUACUGGGUAAGUCCCAAUUUAGUUCUUCUAAACAAAUGAUCUCAGCAACUCUUGUUGGUAAGGAUCCGUCAAUACUUCUAGGAUGCUUUUGUUUCCUAUCUUUUAACUCCCAGCAACCAUCUAUCUUCCCAAAUGUGGAUGCUUUCGCCAUUUAGCACUUGCCAAAUCAAAGUCUCCUUUUAAAAACGCUUUCCCUUCAAGAAUGCUACUCCACACCCAUGAUGACCUAGCUUCCUUUUUAGCUUCAAGUAAACUAGAAUUCGGGGAAAAAAGUCCUUUUAAAAUCCUAGCCCAAAGAGCAUCAGGAUCCUGGACUAACUGUCAAGAUUGUUUUGCAAGUAGAGGAAGUCCUCCAAGCUUUUCAAUGGAUACGUCUCUCAUUUUCCUUCUGCUGAAUUCAUUUCCACGCAUAAGUUUUUAGGAAAUUCGAAAAGAUAUCGUAUACAUUGAAGCGCAUGCUACUGCUUUAAUAAGAACCUCCCUUCCCCUUCAAGAUAACGUUUGCUGCUUUCAGCCCUUAAGUUUGGUAAGGACCUUUAUAUAUAUAUAUAUAUGGUUAAAGUAAGGACCUUAUCUUUGAUAUGCCUCAAAGUUAAUGUUUUCGAAAGCCCCCACAAAGAAGGGACACCCAAGUAGGCGUCCGAAUUAUUUGCCACCUCUAAGUUAGUCUCUUCUUGAAUCAACCUUUCGUUGUCCCUUUGGGAGUAUUCACACUAAAAACGUUGCUUGAUUUAUCAUAGUUGACCCUUCGUCCAGAAGCUGCACAAUAUUCUUGAAUCAAGUUAAUCAUUCUCCUACAAUUUAACGAACUAGCGUCCAAAAAGAAUAGAAAUCGUUCGUGAAUAACAAAUGUGACACUACUGGAUAAUGACUACUAAGGCUAAUCCCAGAAAUAAAACUAGACUCGACUCUAUUAAUAAUCACUACCCCUAGAACUCCUUUCAAUAUUCACCAUGAUCUUCGAUAUGAUUUAAUACUUAAAAUUACAAGGACUAAUUGACCUAAAUUAUGUCAUUAAUUCAAGACAUUUAGUUUUCAGAAUUAAAAUUAUCUCAAUCUCGUUCGAAAAUUUCCCUUCCCUUAAUAGCUUCCAAAACAUUCUUUUUAAUAAUUUCCCAAUAAUUAUGAUAGAAAAUCCCGUUAAAAUCAUCCACAAAAAAAGAGAUUAAUUUAAUUGUUUUGUAUGCUUAACUUGUACAAUAUAAGUAAAAUCUUAUAAUUUUAUCUCCAAAUUCUCUCAACACAUCUUUCUGACCCUUAUUUAUAAUCUCAUUUGUAUCAACAGGAUAUCCAAUUUAAAAUUACAUAAUCUUUUUUAUAUAAUUCUUUAAAUAUUAAAAGUAUUUUCCUCUAUUAUUUUUUUUGUUGGAGUAUUAAAUAUUAGCCUUAAAACCAUAAGGCAUGAAUUCCAAACAACCCUUAAAAAGAUAUGUAAAUUUUGUUUUUGAAUAUCAUUUUUUCUUUUUUAGAUUUCAAAUUGGAUAGUGAAUUAUCUAUUUAUUUAUUCGAAACUCCUCUUAAAUUAAUGAGAUUGAAGUUUCUUAUUUAGUAUUGAUUGUUCCAUAAAGUAUUCAAAGUUUUCAAAUAGAUUUAUUUUUUCAAGUGUAGUUAAUAACGGCAAUAAAAAUUAAACUUUAUAAGUGAUAAAUUUAUAUUAAAAAUUGUUUGAUAAAUUCAUAAAAUAUAAGUUUGGGUUCAUCUACUUUUACAUUUCUUUUACCUAUUUAAAUUAUUUCUUAAUUUUCAUUUUUUUAAAAAAAUUAUUCUUAAUUUUUUAUACAGGAAAUAUAAUCGACGUGGAAAUGAAAAAGUUAGGAGAGAACAUGGUUAAAGAUUGUGCAGGGCUUCCAUUAGCCAUUGUUGUAUUGGGAGGAAUUUUGGCUACAAAGAAUAAUUCAUUAAACGAAUGGCAAAAGAUAUCUGACAAUUUAAAAUCAUACUUGAAGAGAGGCAAAAAUCAAGGACCAGAGGAUGUGUUAGCAUUAAGUUAUGAUGAUUUGCCUCCCUAUCUAAGACCAUGUUUCCUCUAUCUAAGCCUUUUUCCGGAGGAUUAUAUGAUAGAUGUGGAUAGAUUGAUUCAAUUAUGGGUUGCUGAAGGUAUUGUGUCAUCAAAGCAAGAAGAAAGAGACGGUGGGGAAAUUGCGGAAGAUGUGGCGGAAUCUUAUUUAAUGGAGCUUGUGGAAAGGUGCAUGAUUCAAGUACGAGAAAGAGAUGUGGCAACCUUAAAGGUCAAAACAAUUCAGAUGCAUGAUCUGAUGAGAGAUCUUUGCUUAUCAAAGGCAAAACAAGAAAAUUUUGUCUUCAUUGUCGAUCAAUCAAAUGCAUCUUCAUUAUCUAUGAUUCGGAAGGUCCGUAGGGUUUCUGUGCAUGAGUUUUUUUUUCAUACAAUGCAUUAAAAGUCCAAAUAUUCGGUCACUUUUGUUCUUCAAUGAGUUCUUUCCGGAGGAGGAAUUAGACAAAUCUUUUCCCUUGGAAGUGUUGAAUUCACUGUAUUUGAUUCUUAUGAUUUCGCGAGCUGGUAUGGGACUCCUUAAAAUUCGGGGAAUUUAGAGAUACAUGUUCAACAACUUCCAAUUGCUAAGAGCCCUAAACUAUGAGAGAACAACAGGUGAUCGUUUUGCAGGGUUUAAGUUACCUAGUGAUAUAGGUAAUCUCAUCCAUUUAAGAUUCUUGAGUCUAAAGGAUCUUGAGUUCUUAUGGCCAAAGUUGCCAUCAUCUCUAGGAAACUUAAGGUGCUUGCAAACCUUGGAUUUAAGAGUUGAUCGUGACAAAAUUCAUGUACCUAAUGUGAUAUGGAGGAUGGAGCAACUAAGACAUUUAUAUCUCCCUUCGAGAUGUGAAAGCAGUACUAAGUUGAAGUUGGGUACUUUGAGAAAACUCCUAACACUUGUGAACUUCAACACCAAGAAUUGUUAUCUGAAGGAUCUUAUCAACAUGACAAAUCUUAGAGAGUUGGGGAUAAAUUUGCCCUUCAAUAUUGAAAAUUUCAAUGAGGAGUUGGGCGAGAAUCCACCCAUAAUCGGAAGUAAAUAUCUUCAUUCCUUGUCUAUUAUUACCUCUGGGUACGAAUCAAUAGAUCCAAGACAUUUGGCCCAUCUCCUUUCAAAUUGUACAAGUAUUUGCAAGUUGAGUAUAGCAGCAGAGAUAAGUAAGUUACCAGAGUAUCACUACUUCUCUUCACAUCUCACUUACNNNNNNNNNNNNNNNNNNNNNNNNNNNNNNNNNNNNNNNNNNNNNNNNNNNNNNNNNNNNNNNNNNNNNNNNNNNNNNNNNNNNNNNNNNNNNNNNNNNNNNNNNNNNNNNNNNNNNNNNNNNNNNNNNNNNNNNNNNNNNNNNNNNNNNNNNNNNNNNNNNNNNNNNNNNNNNNNNNNNNNNNNNNNNNNNNNNNNNNNNNNNCUCUUCAGCGAUUGGAUAUCAGGCAUUGCCCAAGCUUGAAGAUGCUUCCAGAGGGAUUGAGCUCCAUUACAACCCUCAAAGAACUGAAGAUUGAAUCAAUGCCAAAGGCAUUCAAAGAAAGAUUGGAGAAAGGAGGAGAAGAUUUCUACAAAGUCGAACAUGUUCCUUCUAUCAUAUUCCAAAACAUCUGGUAGAUUGACUGAUAAUUGAGAGGUAAUUUCAUAACCUCUAGUUUAGGAAAUGAUUCCUACUUUCUUUGCUUCUUAUAUAUCUUUCGUUUUUGACAUUGUCUCACAUUCUCACUCCAUUUGUCAACACACCAAUGAAUAAUUACAUUUAUUAAAAGUUAAAGGAAGUCGGACAUUGAUCUUUUUAGUUUUGCUUUUCAGGUAAAGACGCCAUUUUUUCACCAGCUACUGCUAUUCACGGGAUCAAAUCUAGAUUUAAAACUCCUAUUAUAAGUGGCGUGUGAAAGUGUGUUAUAUUGUGAGAUUUGGAAUUAUCUUCUCGCUUGUUGACAUCAGACUGGUUGAAUGUUUGUUAUUUUCUUCAAAUUACAAUAAAAAGGUUGCAAGAUAAGGUACGGGAAGAAAGGGAGGUGUCUGGAUUAGCAAGGUACCAAACCCACAUAGCUUUGGUUUACGAUCACCAUUCCUAUCUUUAUUUGUUAGCUUUGCUUUCUCUUUUUAUUUUUUUCUUUUUUUAUCUGUACUUAAUGUAAUAUUAGAAGAGAAGGCAGGACCAUGCUUUUCUAGUUCCAUUGUAAAAUUCAUCACUUCGUUGUCAAUGUUCAUUUCUACUCUUCAGUUUUACUUAAAUAUAAUUGUUUGAUAUAUAUAUAUAUUUAUAUAUAUAUAUAUAUUUGAAUAUGGAUACACGAUAAGAGAAUAUAAUAUUUUUAAUAUUUUCUGUCAUCCUUAACUCAAUAAUCUUUGUUAAGAUAUUAUACCAGGUUCAAUGGUUGCACUUCAUCCCACACUUUCAAAGCAAAAAAUAGGAAAAAUUAAAUAUUACCAACUAAUAACACUUCCAAAUUACAUUGUCUUACAAAAAAAAAAAAGAUACAAUUUGAAUUUUUUUAUCAACAUUUGAUGGUUUAGCAAGCUAUGCUUUAUAAAAGGCAAAGGAAUCUAAGGGAAAAAAAGAUUCCAAUUCAAGAUUUUGUAUCCCCAUGCUUUGCUUCUUAUAUCUACCAACAAUAUCUUGAUGAUAAUAAACUAAAAAAAAAAAAAAAUUCAAGGGAAUCAAAGAUUUCAAAUCCAACUUAAUCGAUUGAAAAUUUCACAUCCACUUAAUUAUUUCAAAUGAUAUUUAUUCAAUAAGUUUAAAUCAAAAACCACAAGAAUCCCCAUUUAUCUUUUAUUCAAAAUGUAAAUCGGAUUCAAUGAAAAUAUUGAACAUAUAAUGUGUGCACAUGGAAAUGUCCAAAUCUUUAAAUAUAGGGUCGACAUGGGAGAAAUCUCCUAAAGAUUUAUAAAAUUCAAUAUGAUCCUAUUAUUUUCGUUAUAAAACUCAAUAUCUUAUUCGGAUUAGGAUACGAGCGAAUAACAGAUAACUAUUUGUAGUUCAAGGUGUGAUAAAAUCUCAGUAGCUAAGAUAUGAAUGUUGCAAAAUACCAUACAAAAUCACAGCCACAUUUGUUAGUAUGACUAUUUUGGGUAAUCAAAGGAAAAAAAUGUUAGCUGUUGAGCAAACAAGGUGAACAGAUUAGAUAUUCCAAUUACGUUCAAGCACUUGACAAAUCCUUUCUGCAAUGGCUUCAGCACGCAUCCUAGGACCUUCAUCAGCUGCAAAAACCGACCAUUUCUAACAACUAAGCUAACAUCACACAUGAUAAUAUAUGUAUAUAACUUAUAUAGAAGAUGAUUAUGUGGAUUAAAAGCUAUGCUAGUUUGACUCAAUACAUGACCAUGGGACAUGCUCGAUUCAUCAAUAACGAUAUGAAAAUACUUGGAAGAAAAAUUAAAUACAUCAAUAUCUAACAUUUACAUCUGAGUUCGAGUAAAGAAAACAUGUCAUUCAAUCUAAACAUGCAAAAUAUCCAAAACUCUUGAUGAGUGUUAGAUAAAAAUAUGUAGAAUGUACCCAAAAUACCCAUCUCGAACUCAGUAGAGAAAUAUCUAGCACUCAAAAGACACUACCUUCAACCAAGAACAAGCAAGUUUCUUCAAAGGCUUGAUAUACUUUCUUCACAGCCAUAUAUAUGUUCAUAUACCCAUAUUAAGGAUGAUUGUUUUGGCAAAGAGGAUGAAAAGAUAGAAAGAAAACCUUUAAUCCAAUGACAAUAUUUGAUUAUAACAACAUGACACAUAUAAUUGUGAUUAAAAUUGCGGUCACAAAUACGUUUGCAAUCACAUCAUGUUAAUGAAUACUAUUGCAAUCAAUUGCAAUAAAUAUCCACAACAACACGAGCCACAAUCCUAAAACAACAAAGAUAAUACAUUACAGCUGUUAAGGAAUUUUCAAUAACGUAUAUACCUGCAAGAUUUUCAGUGAUGACACAAUAAAAUUCACCACCAGACAACUUCCCAAUCUAAUGAAAUUUUCAAACAUAUCAUGUCAUAAGUUUCAAGAUCAACUGAAACAUGCGGAUACCAAGUAUGAUAAGAAAUUAAAUUAAGGAUUUUCUACUGCAAACCUACCACGAAAACAUAAUUUUUAUUAGGAUCAAAGGCAUAGCCCAUCAUGGCAGCAUUAUUGAGUCCAUUUUCAGAGGAAAAUCCUGAAACAUGUUACAGGCAAAUAUUAAGAAAAACAACGCACAAGCAUAAGUAUAAAAAACCUAGCAUGUAAGAAAUCAAUACUUGAAAGGACUAAAAUCACUGCUAACCUAAGACAUUGAAUCUAGCACCACUAGGAAACAUCCGAAAUGAUACUUGUCUUUCAAUGUUGAGAUACAUAGGUCCAAGUCUGCCAUGUUGCGCCAAACGGGAAUUCAUCAACCUCUUGAGAACCUAAAGGAUGAAAAGUUCCAGUCCAAGUUAUAUAUAUACAGACACACACACAGAUAGACAUGAAGAAAGUGGGUUAAUGGUGUAUUAUUUAAGUAAAGAAAAAGUUGAAAUCUUGAACCUCUAAAUAUUGGGUAACAGCGAGUGUUAAAAGUGCAUAAAGUUCUGCUAUUAUCUACAAGAAACAAUGGAGGAAUCACAUACAUUGUUUAUAUUCACUUUUGUUGCUACACAAGCAAGCUGAGUCCAUAAACAAAGGCAUAUCUUUUUCUCCGUUUUUAAAUGGUUUUCUUGUUUUUCGGCUGCUUUUUAUAUUAAGAGACAGAGAUUGUGAGACCUCGUCAUUCUCAAGGAGAAAGUGGUCAAGCAUGAAGAUGAUGGGAAGACCACGAGUCGAUGGUGGUCGAUCCAUGAGUUGAUUAUGAAUAGUUUCAUGUUAUUAAAUAAAAAUGUUAGCUAAAGUUAGUCGAACGCUGUGUUUUAGGGCCGAGGGUUUAAUGAAACUAUAAGUUUUGAUGUUGAAUAAAAAUGGUGCGUAUUGACUGUUUGUUACAGCUGCUCGAGGAACAGCCCUAUAACAGACUUUGUAGCUGCCAAUUCUCAGCCAUAAUAGAAACUGGCAUGGGAAAUGAGCAGAUAUGCCAUUUUGUGAAGGAAAUCAAUUCUUUCUUCUUCCUCGAUUCUCUUUCUCUUCUCUCUUUUUCUUUCUUCCUCUAUUCUGUUGAAAUUAUGCAUCACUUCACCAGCAUUCAUCAUUGUGGACGUAUCUGAUCUUCAGUCUCUGGUUUACUGCCCAUGUAAAGUUAUGGAAAGGAAUGCAAAUUUAAAAGGUUUUCUUGCUAUAGUCUAUGCAAUUUCAUGUGUGGGUGAAAGGAGAUGAAGAUUAAUAGAGUAAUAUUGAUAUACCAACAAUUCAUUAAUUGAAGUACUAUCAAUAUUAUCAACAAGUAACAGAAUUAAGUGAGUACACUAAUAUAGUCUAGAAAAACAAUUUAAUUAAUAAUACCAUAGGGAUGGCAACGGGGUUAAGUUGCUAUUGCUAUUCAUAUCCCUGCCGCUAGCUUUUGACGACUUCACCAAGUAAACUGCAAUCACAAUUGUUGUUCUUAUUACCUGCAAAAACACAGCCAACAAUCUGAAUCCAUAUCCCCAUUUUAGGAACAAAUGCAUGGUGUACCAUUUGUUUCGAAGCCAAAUCAAUUUUCUUAUUUUUUCUUGAAGUAAAACCUUAUCUGACACUUAUAUUCAACACAUAUUCAUGUAUUGGUAUGAAGAUAUGACACUCUUAUCCUAUACUCGUAUCCGUGCUCAGGUAACAUAAGCUGAACCCGCAAGAUAACUGAUUUAACAUCGCAUUGCUGCUAGCUAUUGAUGAUUCCACCAAGUAAACUGCAAUCACAAGUGUUGUUCUUAUUCCUUGCAAAAACACAGUCAACAAUCUGAAUCCACAUUCCCAUUUUCGGAACAAAACCAUGGCGUACCAUUUGUUUCAAAGCCCAAUCAACUUCCUUUACCAUCUUCCCCUUACAAAAACCAUGAAUCAACUUCUUGUAUGAAUCAAAACUAGGAUUAACCCUCUCGAAAACCAUUCUCCCUAUAAUCUCCUUUGCUUCCAUAAACCUCGCAGCAUCAAGCAAACCGUACAACACCUCUUGAUAAGACCCUGCAUUGGGAUAACACCCUUUCUUUUUCAUAAUUUCCAACAGCUUCACACCUUCAUCAGUCCUACCUUGUUUCCUAAGACCUGAGAUCAAGAUAUUAAAGCUAACAGCAUCAGCAUCGAUUCCUUCCGUUUCCAUCCUCCCCAUCAACUCAAAAGCUUCAUCAACCUUCCCCUUAUCGCACAACCCGUGCAUUAAAGUAGAAUAAGUUCUAACAUUAGGCUUACACCUUUGUUUAGGAAAUUCAUCGAGCAGUUGGAAUGCAAACUCUAAUUUCCCAUUUUCACACAACCCUUUAAUGAGAAUAUUCAGAGUACAAGCUUCGAUUUCAACACCCAAAUUGGGAGCUUUCCCAUAAACCUCGUGAACAACAUCAAAUAGUUUGUUCGAUACGAGUAAGCUCAAUACGAUAUUGAAGGUUUUAACACUAGGCCAAGUCCCAUAUUCUGGCAUGCUAAAAAGGAUCUCGAUUGCCCUUUUGAUUCGACCUCCGACAUGCCCAUACUUUUUAAUCACAUGCUGGAAGAAUUCAUCGGAUAAACGACAGGCUUUUUCACGUUUGAGCUUUUCCAUUAUAUUUUCAAUGGAAUCAAAAUCCUGGGCAUAUGCGAGCUUGUUGAUGAGCAAAGUGAAGAGAGGUUCAGUUGGUUUAUAAUCCUUGCGAGCUGAGUAUUGGGCUAGGACUGAAAUGAGAGAGUUUGGAUCUUUAAGAUUGUCAAAGAUUUUGAGGAUUUCGGUCGGGGAGAGCCAGUCUUUGUGGGUUAGUUUGAAAAGGGGAGGGGAAGUGGUGUGGGUUGGUUGAUGGUAGCUGGAAAGUGAGGAGAAAAACGAAAGGGAUUUAAGAGAUGAGAUUUUAGUGGUCAUUGGAUGUUGAAAAAGUGAGGGAAAAUUUUGGGGGUAAGAGCUUUUGACAGAAGAAAGAAGGGAACGUGAAAUCAUGCGUUUGGCCAUUGGAGAAUGUAGAAACUGGAGAGCUAAAAGCUUUGUGCUAUUCGCACUAUAAACAUAUAUAGGGUAAGGGACAGGCUUAAUACUUGUUUUGUCCCCUGUAAUAUAGUAAAAAAUCUCAUUUUGACCCUUUUCCUUUACUUUGUCUGUUUACUUUCAUUUCGUCCAUUGCCUGCUUACUUUCAUUUCGUCCAUCAUGUUAGUCUAUUGAUCAUUUCCGUAAAUCCCAUGUGUUAGGGUUCCUAUAUUAUAGUAUUCAUCCAUAUACUUUAACCCUCCACGUAGUCGCAAUCAAUUGGCUUAAAUGAUCGAGGAUCACUAUAGUAUAAGGACCAAACGUAAACAUGCACUAAUUUUUUUAUACAGAAAUGGUCAAAGGAUUAAAGUGAUAGAUGAAAUGAAAGUAAAGGGCGCAAAGUGAUUGGAAAAGUAGUAAAAUGUUGGAAAAUAUUAAGAGAUUGUAUGAUGCAAAACUUAAAUAAUUUAUCUACUGAAAUUUUGAGGUGUAUUAUUUCGAAGUAAUGAAUCAUUGUUAUUUACAACUAUAUAUUAUAUCUCUUUGAAAUGUACAAAUANNNNNNNNNNNNNNNNNNNNNNNNNNNNNNNNNNNNNNNNNNNNNNNNNNNNNNNNNNNNNNNNNNNNNNNNNNNNNNNNNNNNNNNNNNNNNNNNNNNNCUUCUUCUUCCCUUCAAGAAUUGGUUGGAUUUGGAGGUGCCUAUUGAAAGCCUGGUUGAAAAGGAAUCGAGUUUGGAAUGCCGAAAUGAUCGGAAGCCAUGCCAAUAUAGCAAUUGGAGAGAAAAGGAUCGAUCCCAUUCCGUAAUCAUAUGCCUUAGCUAGUACCUCAGUGAACUGCCAGAGUCCGGUGUUCUCAGUAAUUGGCCUCACAGCUUGAGCAACCUGAAGGGAACUAAAAUGUCAGAGGGAAUAAGGCAAAAGAUGCAAACUCUAGACAAAUACUAUAUGCUGGUCCUCUAAAUAUAUGAACAAAUUUAGAAAAGAACUUGGGUAUGCCCGUAUUUGAUACUUAUUCUUGAAUUCGAGUAACAUAGUCAACUAGACAUACCAAAAUCAGACCCCAUCCAGUCGGCAGAAAUGCAAGACAGCAGACAAGUAAAUCCUUGGACGACAGUUCACAGAUGACUGAGAGAGUGAUAACAAUGGCGAAAACACUUAGGAAGAGGAAUGCUUUAAAGAACCUAAACAUCAGAUGGUAACGAGCACUGAAGAGUUGCCUUCCAACGUUCACUGCCUGUAUGUCAUGUAGAGAUCAAGUUAUCCGUGCAGAAAAUUCAAGGCUACUUCGGAAUUUUCAAAAUAGAACUCAAUAUACUUGAGUAUUAUGAUACUUGAAUGAAUUUUACCUUGACCGUCAGGAAAACUGCAAGAAUCACAACCCAGGAAAGCAUAUAAACAAGGAAAUUUUUGCUCUGUUGGGAGAUGUCAAGAUGAUACACCAAGCCAUACUGAUACAAGAAAAACCGAAUCGAAAGAAGAAUUUCGAACAAUCUAGCACCAUAUCCUGAACGACGAAGGUGAGCUUGUUCAUCAUUCCACCAAGAUUGCCAACUCUUGUUUUGCUGAAUCCCAAUACCACCUUUCUCCUUGAUCCACUUAUUCCAGCCUUUCCAAUCAUCUACAAUCUUGUCCCAAUCGAACCCGGAAGGAUUAAACAAAAAUGGUGCAAAUAACCAAGUCAUGGUCAUGAACCAAACAGAGUACGUGAUUAAUACAUAUGCCAUGCUACUCUGGUAGGACCUCCGGAACAAAUCGUAAACCACUAACAGGAGCAACAGUUCAAAUCCUUUAACAAAGUGGCUUCGUGAAUACAAUCUGUAGUUCUCAGUAAAGCUGGCAUGAAACACCACAACCUUACGUCCGGUAGGUAUAUACUUAGCUCCGCCAUACAUAAUUGUCCGACCAAAAUGAUGGGUUUUUGUCCCAAGGGAAAAAGUGAAGAAAACAGCAGCAAACUGCAGUUGCAUAAGAACAAAAUCUUUAAGGGCCGUAAGAAAUCCCUUCUCAAGUCCGAUCUCCAUUACCAUCGGUAAGCCAGUUAAAAGACCAAGCUGAAUAAACGAUUGAGAAGCAAGAGCAGUUUCCAAUGAUUCAGUGUUUUUCAUUCUAGCCUCAAUGAGGAGUGCCUUUUCUAGUCCACUAAGAACAAGGUAUAGUUGUCCGUAGAGGAACACAUAAAUUCCGAGUACAGAAAUCUGGUUUUUUACAGAUCAUAAGACGGGAAAGGCAAAAAUCAGAAAAGCAUCAUACAGAGAUAAAUAGGAAUCGGAUCAGGUAACCUUGUUUAGUGUGAGAGAAUUACCAGGCUGCUGAAGUAAAAUCCAAUGGUUGUGAAAUAGCAAGAUAGCAUCCUAAAANNNNNNNNNNNNNNNNNNNNNNNNNNNNNNNNNNNNNNNNNNNNNNNNNNNNNNNNNNNNNNNNNNNNNNNNNNNNNNNNNNNNNNNNNNNNNNNNNNNNNNNNNNNNNNNNNNNNNNNNNNNNNNNNNNNNNNNNNNNNNNNNNNNNNNNNNNNNNNNNNNNNNNNNNNNNNNNNNNNNNNNNNNNNNNNNNNNNNNNNNNNNNNNNNNNNNNNNNNNNNNNNNNNNNNNNNNNNNNNNNNNNNNNNNNNNNNNNNNNNNNNNNNNNNNNNNNNNNNNNNNNNNNNNNNNNNNNNNNNNNNNNNNNNNNNNNNNNNNNNNNNNNNNNNNNNNNNNNNNNNNNNNNNNNNNNNNNNNNNNNNNNNNNNNNNNNNNNNNNNNNNNNNNNNNNNNNNNNNNNNNNNNNNNNNNNNNNNNNNNNNNNNNNNNNNNNNNNNNNNNNNNNNNNNNNNNNNNNNNNNNNNNNNNNNNNNNNNNNNNNNNNNNNNNNNNNNNNNNNNNNNNNNNNNNNNNNNNNNNNNNNNNNNNNNNNNNNNNNNNNNNNNNNNNNNNNNNNNNNNNNNNNNNNNNNNNNNNNNNNNNNNNNNNNNNNNNNNNNNNNNNNNNNNNNNNNNNNNNNNNNNNNNNNNNNNNNNNNNNNNNNNNNNNNNNNNNNNNNNNNNAAGGUCCUUACCAAACUUAAGGGCUGAAAGCAGCAAACGUUAUCUUGAAGGGGAAGGGAGGUUCUUAUUAAAGCAGUAGCAUGCGCUUCAAUGUAUACGAUAUCUUUUCGAAUUUCCUAAAAACUUAUGCGUGGAAAUGAAUUCAGCUUUGCAUCAGGAUCCUGAUCCAGAAUAUUGUGCAGCUUCUGGACGAAGGGUCAACUAUGAUAAAAACAAGUAGGACUAACUAGCCCAAAGAGCAUCAGGAUCCUGGACUAACUGUCAAGAUUGUUUUGCAAGUAGAGGAAGUCCUCCAAGCUUUUCAAUGGAUACGUCUCUCAUUUUCCUUCUGCUGAAUUCAUUUCCACGCAUAAGUUUUUAGGAAAUUCGAAAAGAUAUCGUAUACAUUGAAGCGCAUGCUACUGCUUUAAUAAGAACCUCCAUUCCCCUUCAAGAUAACGUUUGCUGCUUUCAGCCCUUAAGUUUGGUAAGGACCUUUAUAUAUAUAUAUAUAUGGUUAAAGUAAGGACCUUAUCUUUGAUAUGCCUCAAAGUUAAUGUUUUCGAAAGCCCCCACAAAGAAGGGACACCCAAGUAGGCGUCCGAAUUAUUUGCCACCUCUAAGGUAGUCUCUUCUUGAAUCAACCUUUCGUUGUCCCUUUGGGAGUAUUCACACUAAAAACGUUGCUUGAUUUAUCAUAGUUGACCCUUCGUCCAGAAGCUGCACAAUAUUCUUGAAUCAAGUUAAUCAUUCUCCUACAAUUUAAUGAACUAGCUUCCAAAAAGAAUAGAAAUCGUUCGUGAAUAACAAAUGUGACACUACUGGAUAAUGACUACNNNNNNNNNNNNNNNNNNNNNNNNNNNNNNNNNNNNNNNNNNNNNNNNNNNNNNNNNNNNNNNNNNNNNNNNNNNNNNNNNNNNNNNNNNNNNNNNNNNNAACUCCUUUCAAUAUAUUCACCAUGAUCUUCGAUAUGAUUUAAUACUUAAAAUUAUAAGGAAUAAUUGACCUAAUUAAAUUAUGUCAUUAAUUCAAGACAUUUAGUUUUCAGAAGUAAAAUUAUCUCAAUCUCGUUCGAAAAUUUCCCUUCCCUAAAAAAAAAACUCUUAAUAGCUUCCAAAACAUCCUUUUUAAUAAUUUCCCAAUAAUUAUGAUAGAAAAUCCCGUUAAAAUCAUCCACGAAAAAAGAGAUUAAUUUAAUUGUUUUGUAUGCUUAACUUGUACAAUAUAAGUAAAAUAUUAUAAUUUUAUCUCCAAAUUCUCUCAACACAUCUUUCUGACCCUUGUUUAUAAUCUCAUUUGUAUCUAGCAGGAUAUCCAAUUUAAAAUUAAAUAAUUUUUUUUAUAAUUCUUUAAAUAUUAAAAAUAUUUUCCUCUAUUAUUAUUUUUUGUUGUUGGAGUAUUAAAUAUUAGCCUUAAAACCAUAAGGCAUGAACUAUUCCAAACAACCCUUAAAAAGAUAUGUAAAUUUUGUUUUUGAAUAUCAUUUUUACUUUUUUAGGUUUCAAAUUGGAUAGUGAAUUAUAUAUUUAUUUAUUCGAAACUCCUCUUAAAUUAAUAAGAGUGAAGUUUCUUAUUUAGUAUUGAUUGUUCCAUAAAAUAUUCAAAGUUUUCAAAGUUUUCAAAUAGAUUUAUUUUUUUAAGUGUAGUUAAUAACCUCAAUAAAAAUUAAACUUUAUAAGUGAUGAAUUUAUAUUAAAAAUUGUUUGAUAAAUUCAUAAAAUAUAAGUUUGGGUUCAUCUACUUUUACAUUUCUUUUACCUAUUUAAAUUAUUUCUUAAUUUUUCUUAUUUUUUAAAAAAUUAUUCUUAAUUUUUUAUACAGGAAAAAUAAUCGACGAGGAAAUGAAAAAGUUAGGAGAGAACAUGGUUCAACAUUGUGCAGGGCUUCCAUUAGCCAUUGUUGUAUUGGGAGGAAUUUUAGCUACAAAGAAUAAUUCAUUAAACGAAUGGCGAAAGAUAUCUGACAAUGUAAAAUCCUACUUGAAGAAGGGCAAAAAUCAAAGACUAGAGGAUGUGUUAGCAUUAAGUUAUGAUGAUUUGCCUCCCUAUCUAAGACCAUGUUUCCUCUAUCUAAGCCAUUUUCCGGAGGAUUAUAUGAUAGAUGUGGAUAGAUUGAUUCAAUUAUGGGUUGCUGAAGGUAUUGUGUCAUCAAAGCAAGAAGAAAGAGAUGGUGGGGAAAUUGUGGAAGAUGUGGCGGAAUCUUAUUUAAUGGAGCUUGUGGAAAGGUGCAUGAUUCAAGUACGAGAAAGAGAUGUGGCAACCUUAAAGGUCAAAACAAUUCAGAUGCAUGAUCUGAUGAGAGAUCUUUGCUUAUCAAAAGCAAAACAAGAAAAUCUUGUCUUCAUUGUUGAUCGACCGAAUGCAUCUUCGUUAUCUAUGAUUCGGAAGGUUCAUAGGGUUUCUGUGCAUGAGUUUUUUUUCAUACAAUGCAUUAAAAGUCCAAAUAUUUAGUCACUUUUGUUCUUCAAUGAGUUCUUUCCGAAGGAGGCAAUUGAAAAAUCUUUGCCCUUGAAAGUGUUGAAUUACGUUGAAGAACAUGAAGAUGAUGAUUGUAAUCCACUAUUUUGGAUUCUUAUAACUUUGGCACGUUCUACAGGACGUCAUAAAAUUCACGAAAUUUGUAGAUACAUGUUCAACAACUUCAAAUUGCUAAGAGUCCUAAACUAUGAGAUAAGAACAAGAAGAACACGUGAUCUUUUUGGAGGGUGGAAGUUACCCAGUGAUAUAGGUAAUCUCGUCCAUUUAAGAUUCUUGAGUCUAAGGAAUUUUGAGUUCCAACGGUCAAAGUUGCCAUCAUCUCUAGGCAACUUAAGGUGCUUGCAAACCUUGGAUUUAAGAGUUGAUGACAGAAUUCAUGUACCUAAUGUGAAAUGGAGGAUGGAGCAACUAAGACAUUUAUAUCUCCCUUUGAGAUGUAAAAGCAGAACUAAGUUGAAGUUGGGUACUUUGACAAAACUCCUAACACUUGUGAACUUCAAGACCAAGAAUUGUUAUCUGAAGGAUCUUAUCAACAUGACAAAUCUUAGAGAGUUGGGGAUAAAUUUGCCCUUCAAUAUUGAAAAUUUCAAUGAGAAGGAGUUGGGCGAGAAUCCACCCAUAAUCGGAAGUAAAUAUCUUCAUUCCUUGUCUAUUACCUAUGAAGAAGGACUGAAAAUAUUUACUUUAUUUUCUAUUGAUGUCAUUAUGAAAUCCUGGUCAAAAAUAGAUCCAAGACAUUUGGCCCACCUCCUUUCAAAUUGUACUAGUAUUUGCAAGUUGAGUAUAACAAGAGUGAUAAGUGAGUUACCAGAGUAUCACUACUUCUCUUCCCAUCUCGCUUACAUACGGUUGAUAUGUUGUAAGUUUGAGGAAGAUCCAAUGCCAACACUAGAGAAGCUGCCUAACUUAAGGAUUCUUGAACUCAAAUAUACUUCAGAAGGAAAGGAAAUGUUUUGCUCUGCUCAGGGUUUUCCUAAACUUGAGUCUCUAAUCCUUGCGGAGCUCUACAAAUUGGAGGAGUGGAAGGUGGAUGAAGGAGCCAUGCCUUCUCUUCAGCGAUUGGAGAUUGAGGAAUGUGGAAACUUGAAGAUGCUUCCAGAGGGAUUGAGGUUCAUUACAACCCUCAAAGAACUGAAGCUUGAAUUAAUGCCAAAGGCAUUCAAAGAUAGAUUAGAGGAAGGAGGAGAAGAUUUCUGCAAAGUCAAACAUGUUCCUUCUGUCAUAUUCCAAAAAUGUGGCUAAUAGAUUGAAUGAUAAUUGAGAGGUAAUUUCAUAACCUCUGGUUUAGGAAAUGAUUCCUACUUUCUUUGCUUCUUAUAUAUCUUUUGUUUUUGACAAUGUCUCACAUUCUCACUCACUUUGUCAACACACCAAUGAAUAAUUACAUUUAUUGAAAGUCAAAGGAAGUGAGACAUUGAUAUUUUUAGUUUUUCUUUUCAGGUAAAGACGCCAUUUUUUCACCUGCUACUGCUAUUCACGGGAUCAAAUCUAGAUUUAAAACUCCUAUUAUAAGUGGCAUGUGAAAGUGUGUUAUAUGGUGAGAUUUGGAAUUAUGUUCUCUCUUGUAUAUAUCUGUGGUUGUUGACUGUUUGUUGUUUUCUUCAAAUUACAAUAAAACGGUUGCAAGAUAUGGUAUUGGAAGAAUGGGAGGUGUCUGGAUUAGCAAGGUACCAAACUCCUCCUCCAUUUCAAUUUCCUUCAAUCUAAUUUAAUUACACGUUCAUUUUUGUCUUUUAAAACAUAAAAUUGCAGAUAAGGAGACGUCACUGACCUUUGUUCCCACAUAGCUUUGGUUUGCGCCUUUGCGGUGACCAUUCCUAUAUUUAUUUGUUAGCUUUGCUUUCUCUGCUUGAGUCUUUCUCUUUUUUCUUUUUUCUUUUUUUUAUAUGCACUUAAUGUAAUAUUAGAAGCCAAGGCAGGACCAUGCUUUUCUAUUGUAAAAUUCAUCACUUUGUUGUCUAUGUUCAUUUCUACUUUUCAUUUGAUAUAUAUUUGAAUAUGGAGAAUAUAAUCUUUUUAAUAUAUACAUAUUUUAGAAAAAAAAUGAAUAUAUGUAUGUUUGACAUAUUUCCCGUUUCAACAUAUUUCCUUAUUUUAUGCAAGUCAAUUGGCAUUUAACCAAAUAAAUUUAAUUGCUUCAGUUUGAGUUAAAAUUAAAAUUUCAAAAUUAAAAAAAAAAUACAAAAAAUAAAGUUGACAAAUUCAAAAAUAUACAUAUUAAAAUUGAUCAAAUUAAAAGUGCACUGGCUAACCUUAAUUUUUUUGUUAAUCUUUCUUUUCGAUUAAUUAAAUGUCCAUGACGUAUAUUAUAUAUCUUAAUAUAUAAAUAUUUUUAAAAAAAUUAAAUAUAUGUAGGUUGGACACAUAUUCAAGUUUGAUAUUCGUCUUAAAUUCGUGCAAUACGGUUAAAUAUUGGUGAAUUAGUAGUUGAUGAAGUAUUAUAUACAUUCUUGGAAUAUUGCUCUAUUCAACGAAUUUAUUUCAGCUCCAUAUGCUUAAAACGCCUCCCAUUUCUAACAUAUUUCCUCAUUUUGGGUAACUCGAUUGGUAUACAAUGUAGUCUUUUUCAUUGUUUAGUAUCCUAAUCCUUAACUCAAUAAUCUUUGUUACAAUAGGGUUUAAUGAUUGCAAUUCAUCUCGAUGCUUCCGAAGCAAAAAAAAAAAAAAUCAAAUUUUACCGGUUAAUUACAUGUCAACACAUAUAAUCCACGAUAUGUUUAUCUGAAAGAUUAAAUAAGAUUAACUAAAUCACAAAGAAAAUAAACGAGUAAACAUAAUCUAGAAAUUCCAAAUUACAUUAUCUAACAAAAAUUCAAUAAGAAAUAAAUGGUUGCAUUUCAUUCUUUAGGGAUUUGCUCUUAUAUCUUCCAACAAUAGCUUGAUGAUAAUAAGCUGAAAAAGAAAAGGAGUCCAAGGGAAUUGAAGAUUCUUAAUUCAGCUAGCUUAAUUGAUUGAAUACUUCAAAUACACUUAAUUAAUACCAAUUAUAUUUAUCAAUAAAUCUAAAAUUUGAAUCCCUCAUUUGCAACCUAUUUUGUAAAAACUGCCAAAUGAAAUCAAAUUAUCUUGUUUCAAUUCUCUUCAAAUUUUAGUUUACAACUUCUAUUUUUGGGUUUCCAUUUGUUUCUACUUUUAAAGCAAACAUUGAUUCAAGAAAUAUUUAUUUCAUUUGGCUUAUUUUCUUUUCUAUUUUUAUGCUAUUCAGAUUCGAUGAAAUAUUGAACAUAAUAUGUGUGCAAGUUAGAUGUCCGAGUCUUGAAAUGUAAGAUCGAAACGGGAGAAAUAUCCUAAAACCCGAUGCUUAAAGAUUUAUAAAAUUUAGUAUAAUCAUGUUGUUUUCAUUAUUAUAAAACUCAAUGUUAAAAUGUCUAUGAUUUGAAUUAUGAUACAAGAGAAAAAUAGCUAACUAUUUUAAGUUCAAGGUGUGAGAAAACCUCAAUAUCUAAGAUAUGAAUGUUGUAAAGUACCACUCAAUCACAGCCACAUUUGUUAGUAUGACUACUUUGGAUGAAAAGUUCUAUUCCAAGUUAUAUAUACACACAGAAAUACACAUGAAGUGGAUUAAUGGUGUAUUAUUAAGUAAAGGAAAACGGUUCUAACUAAAAGAAAGAGUUGAAAUCUUGAACCUCCAAAUAUUGGGUAACCGCUGGUGUUAAAAAGUGCAUAAAGGUCCGCGCUUAUCUACAAGAAAUAAUGGAGGAAUCGCAUACGCUGUUUAUAUUCAUUUUUUUUGCUCCACAAGCAAUCCGAAACCAUAAACAAAGGAGUACUUUUUUGCCUUUUUUAAAUGGUUUUCUUGUUUCUUUUCCGCUUUUCAAAUUCUUCAUUCAAUUCAAGUUCAAGAAACCAUACUAAAUAUAUAUAUAUGUUUAUAUUCGCUUUUCUUGCUACACAAGCAAGCCAAAACCAUAAACAAAGGCAUGCAUUUUAUUUCCUUUUUUAAUGGUUUUCUUGAUUCUUUGUUGUUUUUAAAAUUCUUCAUUCAAUUCAAGUUCAAGAAACCAUACUAAAAUAUAUAUUUAUAUUCGCUUUUUUUGCUACACAAGCAAGCUGAAACCAUAAACAAAGGCAUACAUUUUUUCCUUUUUUAAAUGCAUUUUUUUUUUUGUUUCUUUGUUGUUUUUUAGAUUCUUCAUUCAAUUCAAGUUCAAGAAAUCAUACUAAUUAUAUAUGUUUAUAUUCACUUUUCUUGCUACAUAAGCAAGCCGAAACUAUAAACAAAGGCAUACCUUUUUUUCCCCUUUUUAUCUUGCUGCUUUUUAGAUUUUUCAUUCAAUUCAAGUUUAAGAAAUCAUACUAUAUAUAUACCAUACUAUAUAUAUAUAUAUGUUUAUAUUCACUUUUCUUGCUACACAAGUCAACUGAAACCAUAAACAAAGGCAUAACUUUUUCGCUUUUUUUAAAAUGAUUUUUUUUCUUUGCUACUUUUUUAAAUUUUUAUUCAAUUUAAGUUUAAAAAACCCUACUAAAUAUAUAUAUAUAUAUAUAUAUAUUAAGAGAGAGACAUCAUCAUCCUCAAGGAGUAAGUGGUUAAGCAUGAACUUGAUGGGAAGGCCACAAGUCGGUGGUGGUCAAAUCAUGAGUUGAUUAUGAUUAGUUUCAUGUUAUGGAAAAAAGAUGCUAGUUAAAAUUAGUUACUUGACCGUUGCAUUUUGAGGUUGAGAGUUUAAUGAAACGAUACGCUUUGAUGUUUAAUGAAAACGGUGCGUAUUGAAAGUUUGAUACAACUAAUCGAAUAACAAGCCUGUAACAACUUUGUAACUACCAAUUCCUCGCUUUAAAAAAAUAUUCCAAAUAUGUUUUCUCACCUUAUCAUUUUUGUUAUUUUUCAAGCCCCCUUACCAUUUUAUAUUUUUAAUGGGUAUAUUAUAAAAAUAGUCACCUAGGUAUUGCUUUCAUUCUAUUUUAUUCACUAAGUUAUUAAUUUUUUCGAUUUAAUUACUAAAUUUUUUUAAAUUAAAUAUUUUGAUCACUCUCCCAUUAGUUAUCAUUAGAUAAGUGAUAGGAAGUUAAUGUGGGCUUUUUUUAUUAGUCUAAUAACAAAUUUAGUCAUCUAAUGUUUACACAUUCUAUUAAAUUGAUUUUAAAUAUAAAAUGUUCAAUAGCUUUAAACCUAAAUGUUUACCAAAUCUAUUGUUAUAGUUCAAAUCCUAAAAAUUUCAAUAAAUUUAAUCCUCAAAAUUUGUAAAUUUAAUUUUAAUUCUAACUCAUGGAUGAAUUAAGCAAAUUAAAUCAAAUCAAAUCAAUCGAACAAAGAAUUUAAUUAAAAAGAAAUUCUUCACAUGCAUCAAGGAGGGACUUCCUCUGGUGGUAUCAAGGGGAUUGAUAGAAACAGCUCAGGCUCGAACAAGAACUUCACUGGGCUUAAGAUCAGGAACAGACACAUCGGAUCAAAGCUGCAACACCUCAGGUCCACCGAACCGAGGCAGCAACACCGCCCUGCAACUGUUGGCAUAGCACCGAAUUGAACCCACUUUCAAUGAUAUGAUAACUCCAUAAAGGGUUUGGGUUUUAAGCUUUGAAAGUUCCCCUUUUUCUUCUCAAAUUUUCUGAACUUCAGCUCCUUCCUUUUGUUAAAUGAAGGAAAAGCAAAGGAGAGACACCGAAGUGUUUUAAUCCACAUAGAAAAUAGUGAUUAUGUGACUUGUGAGUGUUGGCCUGGGGUCUUGGAAGAAGAAGAUGAAUAUUGCAUAAUCGAUUUUUAAUUGCUUACUACAUUCAUAAUUAAAUAAAUAAAAAUUUCUAACCUUAUCAAUUAAAUCAAGUUAGAAUGUUCAACUUGAUUUUUGUUUGUUAUAAGGAUCAUAUAUUAUAAAACUUAAUUUUAUUUUAAUAAUUAUAUAAUAUUAUUUUUAAUUAUAUCAUCUGAUACCAUCUUGAGGGCUAAAUUUAGAAUUAAAAUUAAAUUGACAAAUUUUAGAAAUUUUGAGCUUAAAUUUAUUUUUAUUUUUAGGAAUUUGAAAUAAAAUGAGAAAUUUUGUAAAUAUUGAGGAUUAAAUUUGUUGGAAAUUUUAUAUUUAGAAUCAAAUGGUAGAAUGUCUAAACAUUAGGGGGCUAAAUUUAUUAUUAGACCAAUAAAAACAAGUUCAUAUCAAUUUCCCGUCACUCAUCUAAUUGCAACUAAUGAGGAAGUGAUGAAAAUAUUUAACUUCUAAAAAUUUAAUGACUAAAUAAAAAAAUUAACAUUUAAGUGAUCAAAAUAGAAUGAAAUCAAUAAUUUGAUGAGCAUUUUUGUACUGUACCCUAUCUUAAUCCAUCUCACAACCAAAUUUCUCCGUCUUUGCCUAAGUUCUGUGUCUUUGUCAAAUUUUAAUAGAAUUAACAUUUUUAUUUAAAAAAUAUCUUUAAUCGUUUAAUAUAUUUUUAAUAAGUAAAUGUUAAUUCCGUUAAGGGUCAGUUUGUUUACACGUAAAAAGUUAAAAAUAAAAAUAUUGAGUUCUAUAAUAUGAGUCUAUUGAACCGAUUCAAUCAUAAAUUUUAUUAUUAUUGGUUUAUAUAAUGGUUUGAUUUUGAAAAUAUUUGGUUUAACAUUUAGUCAUCCCUUUGAUCAAUUUUAAAUUUUAGAAAUAAUUUUGUUUUUUGUUUACAUUUAAAUGUACAGUUUCUAAUGCAUAUGUGUUACAUUUGAUUUCAAGCCAUUAAUCCUUAAUUACUUUUUAAAAUAAUAGUUUCUUUUAGUUUUUAAAUAAUGUAUAAAUUUAUAAUUAUAUAAGAAAGUAAACUAUAAUAUUAAAUUUUUAAAAAUUAAGUAAAACAACAUGCAAUAAUUUUCAUAAUAAUUAAUGAUAAAUAAGAAAAAUAUUCACAAUUAUAAAACAAACCGUUUAAGAGUAUAUAAACUACUUAUACAAAAUUCUUUUAAAUCAAAGAUGAAAUUAUAUAUAUAUAAAUAACAAAUGAAAUUAUAUAUACAAAUUUAUAAGUGAAAAAUAUACAUAAUUAUAUUCAUAAAAAGUACAUAUGACAAUAUACAAACAAGGCUAUAAAGUAAUUCAUAGGAACAUGGCUUUCUUGUUAGUAUUCUCAUUCUUUUUUUAACAUACCUUUCUUGCUUGUGUUCUCAUUCUAUUAUGAAUAUACCUUUCUUGUUCGUAUUCUCGUUCUAUUGAUGAUUAAUGUUGCUUUAUAAUUGUUUAUAAAUUUAAUAGAACUAUAUAUUACUACUAAAAGUAUAAAAGGGCAAUGAUUUGCAAUUGUUUUUAUAAUUAAGUACUGGUUCUUGCAAUUGUUUUCCCAGCAAGAUUGCGGCACUCACAUCUUGAAAUCCAAAUUCAAGAUUUUAAAGAAUUUUCUGAGCUCGAUAGCUAUUAUGGCUUGGUCUGCUGUGACAUCUGCAGUGACAACAAUUGGCAACCUGCUAACUCAGGAAGCCAUAUACCUAUGGGGCGUGGAGGAGCAAGUUGAUCGUCUGCAAACAGAGCUCAAAUGGAUGCAAAGCUCCUUAAUGGUGGCAGAGACAAAACAAUCAACGGAUGAGAGGAUUCGUCUUUGGGUUGCUGAAAUCAGAGAGCUUGCUUAUGAUGCUGAGGAUAUUGUUGAGGAAUUUGCUCUCAAGAUUGGAUCCAAAAACAAAGGUGGCCUUCCGAGUUGUAUUAAAAGAUCAGCCUGCUGUUUGAAAGAGGGAUGGGUGCUCCAUGAAACCAGGUCAAAGAUCGAGAAAAUCAUAGAAAGAGUCAGCGACUUGGUCCGACGACUACAGGCCUACGGCGUAAAGGAAUUAAAUCCCAGAGGAGAAGGAUCAAGUUUUUCAACUGAAAUACGAGAAUCAAGGCGGCCUUAUCCACAUAUUAUGGAUGAUAAUAUUGUUGGACUAGUUGAUGAUACCAAGGGAUUGGUCGAAGUUCUUACGAAGGAAAGUGGAUGCAAGGUUGUUACAAUAUGGGGCAUGGGUGGUCUGGGAAAGACCACUCUCGCCAAGAAAAUAUAUCACCAUGGUGAGGUUAUUGAUUAUUUCGAUCACUUGGCUUUUGUAUAUGUUUCUCAACCAUGCCGGAAAAGAAAUGUUUGGGAAGACAUUUUAUCUGGUUUCAAAACUUUAGAUAAAGAGGACAGGAAGAUAACAGAUGCAGAAUUAGCAGGGAAGUUGAGUAAAACUUUGAAGGAUAAAAAGUGUCUGGUGAUACUUGAUGAUGUUUGGACCAGUGAAGCUUGGGAUAGUCUAAAACCUGCCUUUCCAGUUGAUAGCAAAAGCAAGAUAUUGCUCACCUCUAGAAACAGGGGGAUAGUUUCAUAUGCUGACAUAAAAGGUAAAAUUUUCUUAAUUAGGUAAAAUUGAAUACUCUUAUUCCUUUGAUGGAAAAUAACCAUGUAUAUUAUUUCAGAGUUGAAGUGCCUAAACGAUGAAGAAAGUUGGGAAUUGUUUCAAAAGAUUGUAUUUCCUCAAACAGGUAAAUAUACAUAUAGCAAAAUUCUUGUUAUACGCUAAAUUUAUUUUUCAUUUUUAAUUUUUUUGACAAUAAUUAAAUUUAAAAAUAUAUAAAAUCUAUUUUAUUUAAAAAUUUCAAAACCUUAAUAUGAAAUAAAUAAAAGAAAUCAAGGCUUUGUAGUUUAUCAGCUAAUGGUACACGCAAGUAAAUAUAAUUAAUAGGUAAAUUCAUUAUCUUUUAUAUUAUAUAUUUUUAAUAACUUUGCUAUUAGUUACCGAGAAUAAAUUAUAUUAGGAUCAUCUUAAAAAAAUAUAAAUUUUAGGCACCAAUAAAAUAAUGUUACAUCGUUAAAUUUUUAAGAUAACAAAGAAUUAUUAUACACUCAUUUAUAUUUAAUAUUUUCUCCAACUUAAUUUAACUUUAAUUAAAUUAUUUAAAAUAAUUAAUUUUUUAAAUUAUAGACAAACAUCUUUUCUUCUUUUACAAAAUUUAAUCAUUUUUUUAUAAGUUAAUAUUUUUUUUAUUUUUGUGCAACCAUUUUUUAAAAAAAUAGUAAUUUUUGUGCAAUAUUUUUCAUGUCAUUGACACAUAAUUUUGAUAAUUAUUUUAUCCUGAACCCAAAACCCCGAACCUUGAACUCGAACCCUAAACCCUGAACCUAAACCUUGAGCCCUGAAUCUCAUAAUUUAAGGUUUGGAUUCGAGAUUUAAAGCUCAGAAUUCGAAGUUCAAGUUUAAAGUUUAAGGGUUCAGGUGGGUUACGAGUUUAGGAUUCAUGGUUCAAGGGUUUGGGGUUGCAAGUUUGGAGUUUUAUGUUUUGGAUCUAGGUUUAGAAUUAUAGAUUUAGGGUUCAGGUAAAAAAUUUACCAAAAUUAUGUGUCAAUGACAUGGAAAAAAUUGUUGAAAUGUUAUUAAAUAAUUGGAAAGGGACCAUGAAUAAUGUGGUCAGAAGAGUCCAUAAAAUAAUUUCUCUAUGGAUGAGUGUAUAAUAAUUUAUGUCUUUAAAAUUUGAUGAUGUGACAAAAAAAAUUUAAUUUUUAGGAUCUUCCUAAUGUAAGUUAUUACCUUAUCUUAAUUAUUGGACUAUAUGCUUGUUUAGUUUCUUAAGCACUUUCAUGGUAUUCUUUUAUACGUUUAUCCUGGAUCCUUGCAUCAGAAAGAUUGAGGUGCAGGUAAACCAUUCUUAUCAAGAGUAAAGCCUAAGAAAGAUGUAGUUGAUUCGAACAACUAGCACAUCUCUUUAUGACCCUAUUUAGCAAACCAAUCCACUAACCUAUUGGCUUCUCGUCUGAUAACAUUGACUUUCAAAGAAGAAAGUUGCAUGACCAGCAUAUCAAAAACCUAAAGGACUAGCCUUAAUCUCCAUCUUCGAUCUUGACUUUUCUUCUUAAUGUUAGAAGCAAUAGUCUGGGAGUUAGUCUUGAUUGUCACAUUGGUCCAUUUGUUCUUCAUAGUUAAUUCAAUCCAUCCAACCAUAGCUUUAGCCUCGACAACCUUACAUGAAUCCACUUAAUCCUUUUACCAAUCCCAUCCAGAAUCUUCCCACUUAAAUUUCUGCCUAUUUCUCUAAUACCGGCACAAGCUAUUAAGGUGUCAAAUGCCCCAUCACAAUUAACUUUAACCCAACCUUCUGGUGAUUUCUCCCAAAUAUCAGCACAAGUAUUUGACUUCCUAGUUCGAUCAGAGUUAUUGUUUGAACAGAGGAUCCAUUGAGCAGAUAAGAAUUCAUUCAUGGAGCAAUUAAUCCUUCGAAUAAUUCUCUCCAAACCAAGUUUCACACCUCCGAUUGUAACCUCACACCUAGCUUUCCAGAUGUGGUAACAAGUGAAAACAAUUCUAACUUGAAAAUCCUCCCUCAUACAAGGCAUUUGUAACAACUUAGAGAACCAUCUGUCAAAUGAUUGAGUUUGAUCAUUUAGCCCUUAAAGACCAAAACAAGCAUCAUACUAUAUUCCCCUAACCCUAUUACAACUAAGAAUAAUAUGUUCAAAGUCUCAUCUUCAAUACCACAUAAACAACAAAUUGUGUUCGAAAAACAUUUUCUUUUCCUCGGAUUAAAACGAGAUGGAAUAGCAUUAUGACACAAUUUCCAUAAGAAAAUUUUAAUUUUUUUCAGUACCUGUAAGCUCCAAAUAGCUUUCUGAGUGCUCCUAUCAAUUAAGUGAGAGCUGGAAGAUUGUAAAGAAGACUCAUUUCCAUAGUGCUUUCUCAUCUCCUUAUACCCUGACUUCAUCAAAUAUUGACCAACAGCUGUAAACGGCCACACCAAUUUAUCUUGUUCAUCUGUUUCAUGAACGGGAACUGUUGGAAAUUGCCAAUCAUUCUGCUGUUACAUUUUUUGGUUGAAGUGCAUGCAGAAAAAAAAUGUUAGAAAUUUGCCAACCAUGCUGCUGUUACAUUUUUUGGUUGAAGUGCAUGCAGCUUGAUGACAUGUUGCAUGCACUUCAACCAAAAAAAUGUAACAGCAACAUGGUUGGCCAAUUUCCAACACUCCUCCUUGGACUCUAUGCUGCAAAUACCAGUCAUUCAUUAAGUUUUUGAACUUGGCAGUCCUUAGAUGCUUUGUUUCAAGCUAACUCUUCUCAAGCAAUUCAUUUUCAACAUUGGCUUCAUUCUCAACCAAAUCUGACUUACACACUUGACUAUACCACUCUUUUGUGCCAAAGAUUUGUCCAUCAAAUGGAGUAUUCUCCUCUUUCACAGCCUUGGUUGACAACUUGCCUUUAAACUCAUCUUUUCUUUCUUGCCUUGUCCCUUUACUCAUUACAAUCCUGUUUCUUCUUGCACAAACAGUUCAUGAGUAUAGUUUGCUUGCCUUCAGUCUGCCAUUUUGGCUUGCACCUACUCGAGCUUGCAUUUAAACUGUUUGCCACUUUGGCUUGCAAUUCGAUAAGCUCACACUUUGACAAGCUCACACUUUGCUUACUGUCUUCAACAGGCUCGCAACUUUACAACUCGCAUUGAGCUUCCACAUGUUGCUGAGCUCACACCCAAAGUUAAUGAUUUCGAAAGCCCCCACAAAGAAGGGACACCCAAGUAGACGUCCGCAUUAUUUACCACCUCUAUGUUAGUCUCUUCUUGAAUCAACCUUUCGUUGUCCCUUCGGGAGUAUUCACACUAAAAACGUUGCUUGAUUUAUCAUAAUUGACCCUUCGUCUAGAAGUUGCACAAUAUUCUUGAAUCAAGUUAAUCAUUCUCCUACAAUUUAACGAACUCACUUCCAAAAAGAAUAGAAAUCGUUCGUGAAUAACAAAUGUGACACUACUGGAUAAUAACUACUAAGGCUAAUCCAAGAAAUAAAACUAGACUCGACUCUAUUAAUAAUCACCACCCCUAGAACUCCUUUCAAUAUAUUCACCAUGAUCUUCGAUAUGAUUUAAUACUUAAAAUUACACAGACUAAUUGACCUAAAUUAUGUCAUUAAUUCAAAACAUUUAGUUUUCAGAAUUAAAAUUAUCUCAAUCUCAUUUGAAAAUUUCCCUUCCCUAAAAAAAAAAACUCUUAAUAGCUUCCAAAACAUCCUUUUUAAUAAUUUCCCAAUAAUUAUGAUAAAAAUUCUGCUAAAAUAUUCGCAAAAAAAAGAUAUUAAUUUAAUUGUUUUGUAUGCUUAACUUGUACAAUAUAAGUAAAAUCUUAUAAUUUUAUCUCCAAAUUCUCUUAACACAUCUUUCUGACCCUUAUUUAUAAUCUCAUUUGUAUCUAAGAGGAUAUUCAAUUUAAAAUUAAAUAAUCUUUCUUAUAUAAUUCUUUAAACAUUAAAAGUAUUUUCCUCUAUUUUUUUUUUUUUGGUUGGAGUAUUAAAUAUUAGCCUUAAAACCAUAAGGCAUGAACUAUUCCAAACAACCCUUAAAAAGAUAUGUAAAUUUUGUUUUUGAAUAUAUCAUUCUUACUUUUUUAGAUUUCAAAUUGGAUAGUGAAUUAUAUAUUUAUUUAUUUGAAACUCCUCUUAAAUUAAUGAGAGUGAAGUUUCUUAUUUAGAAUUGAUUGUUCUAUAAAGUAUUCAAAUUUUUCAAAUAGAUUUAUUUUUUCAAGUGUAGUUAAUAACCGCAAUAAAAACUAAAUUUUAUAAGUGAUGAAUUUAUAUUAAAAAUUGUUUGAUAAAUUCAUAAAAUAUAAGUUUGGAUUCAUCUACUUUUACAUUUUUUUUACCUAUUUAAAUUAGUUCUUAAUUUUCCUUAUUUUUAAAAAAUUUAUUCUUAAUUUUUUAUACAGAAAAUAUAAUCGACGUGGAAAUGAAAAAGUUAGGAGAGAAUAUGGUUAAACAUUGUGCAGGGCUUCCAUUAGCCAUUGUUGUAUUGGGAGGAAUUUUGGCUACAAAGAAUAAUUCAUUAAAUGAAUGGCGAAAGAUAUCUGACAAUAUAAAAUCAUACUUGAAGAAAGGCAAAAAUCAAAGACCAGAGGAUGUGUUAACAUUAAGUUAUGAUGAUUUGCCUCCCUAUCUAAGACCAUGUUUCCUCUAUCUAAGCCAUUUUCCGGAGGAUUAUAUGAUAGAUGUGGAUAGAUUGAUUCGAUUAUGGGUUGCUGAAGGUAUUGUGUCAUCAAAGCAAGAAGAAAGAGAUGAUGGGGAAAUUGCGGAAGAUGUGGCGGAAUCUUAUUUAAUGGAGCUUGUGGAAAGGUGCAUGAUUCAAGUACGAGAAAGAGAUGUGGCAACCUUAAAGGUCAAAACAAUUCAGAUGCAUGAUCUGAUGAGAGAUCUUUGCUUAUCAAAGGCAAAACAAGAAAAUUUUGUCUUCAUUGUUGAUCAAUCAAAUGCAUCUUCAUUAUCUAUGAUUCGGAACGUUCGAAGGGUUUCUGUGCAUGAGUUUUUUUCAUACAAUGCAUUAAAAGUCCAAAUAUUCGGUCACUUUUGUUCUUCAAUGAGUUUUUUCCGGAGGAGGCAUUAGAAAAAUCUUUGCCCUUGGAAGUGUUGAAUUACGUUGAAGAACAUGAAGAUGAAGUUUGUAAUCCACUUGUUUGGAUUCUUAUGAUUUCGCGAACUGGUACGAGCUUUCUUAAAGCUCGGGGAAUUUGGAGAUACAUGUUCAACAACUUCAAAUUGCUAAGAGCCCUAAACUAUGAGAGAACAACAUGUGAUCGUUUUGUAGGGUUUAAGUUACCCAGUGAUAUAGGUAAUCUCAUCCAUUUAAGAUUCUUGAGUCUAAAGGAUCUUGAGUUCACAUGGCCAAAGUUGCCAUCAUCUCUAGGCAACUUAAGGUGCUUGCAAACCUUGGAUUUAAGAGUUGAUAGUUACAAAAUUCAUGUACCUAAUGUGAUAUGGAGGAUGGAGCAACUAAGACAUUUAUAUCUCCCUUGGAGAUGUAAAAGCAGAACUAAGUUGAAGUUGGGUACUUUGAGAAAACUCCUAACACUUGUGAACUUCAACACCAAGAAUUGUUAUCUGAAGGAUCUUAUCAACAUGACAAAUCUUAGAGAGUUGGGGAUAAAUUUACCCUUCAAUUUUGAAAAUUUCAAUGAGAAGGAGUUGGGCGAGAAUCCAUUCAUAAUCGGAAGCAAAUAUCUUCAUUCCUUGUCUAUUAUUACCCGUAGGCUAAAGAUAUCAAUAGAUCCAAGACAUUUGGCCCACCUCCUUUCAACUUGUACAAGUAUUUGCAAGUUGAGUAUAGCAGCAGAGAUAAGUAAGUUACCAGAGUAUCACUACUUCUCUUCACAUCUCACUUACAUACGGUUGAGAUGGUGCAAGUUUGAGGAAGAUCCAAUGCCAACACUAGAGAAGCUGCCUAACUUAAGGAUUCUUGAAUUCGAAUGUUCUUUGAAAGGAAAGUAAAUGUUUUGCUCUGCUCAGGGUUUUCCUAAACUUGAGUCUCUAAUCCUUGCGGAGGUCGACAAUUUGGAGGAAUGGGAGGUGGAUGACGGAGCCAUGCCUUCUCUUCAGCGAUUGGAUAUCAGGCAUUGCCCAAGCUUGAAGAUGCUUCCAGAGGGAUUGAGCUCCAUUACAACCCUCAAAGAACUGAAGAUUGAAUCAAUGCCAAAGGCAUUCAAAGAAAGAUUGGAGAAAGGAGGAGAAGAUUUCUACAUAGUCAAAGAUGUUCCUUCUAUCAUACUCCAAUACUGUGGCUAAUAAAUUGAAUGAUAAUUGAGAGGUAAUUUCAUAACCUCUAGUUUAGGAAAUGAUUCCUACUUUCUUUGCUUCUUAUAUAUCUUCCGUUUUUGACAAUGUCUCACAUUCUCACUCAAUUUGUCAACACACCAAUGAAUAAUUACAUUUAUUAAAAGUCAAAGGAAGUCAUCUUUUUAGUUUUGCUUUUCAGGUAAAGACGCCAUUUUUUCACCUACUACUAUAAUGGCGUGUGAAAGUGUGUUAUAUGGUGAGAUUUGGAAUUAUCUUCUCUCUUGUAUAUAUUGUUGGAACAUUUUCAAAUAUUUAUAGUAUCCCAAUAACUAUAAAUGAAUGGGUGUAAUUAAUCAAAAGAUAAAUCUUUUGGUCAUUGGUCAAAAGUUAUAUCAUUUGAUUUUUUAAAAAAGAAUUAUAAUUAUUCAAAAAAUAUUAUUUGAAUAGUUACAAAAUUAAAGGAAUAAUUAUUAUUAUUUAUUUAUUCAUAAAGACACCUAUUGAAAGAUGUCUCUAUGAAGAGACAUGAAAAUUCCUAUAAAUAGGAAUGGGAUUUCAUUUGGAAAUCAUAUCAACAAAUUCUAAUAUUAUUUCUUCUCUUCCUUCAUUUUCUAAUAUUAUUAGAUUAUUCUAUAAAGUAUUCCUGCAGAAAUUCUUUGUAGAAAUUGAGUUUUUGUUACACAUUACUCAGUGCAUAGUGGACUAUUCUCGUCAGUGCAAAACACAAAUAGUCAUUGGCUUCAUUGUAUCCUCGAGGUUAAUUUGCUUGGAACUCAUUUGCACACUGAAGAUAAGUGGGGGCGAAUAUAACCUUAAUGAUAGUGGCUUGAUACACGCCUUGGAGCCUUGUCCUAUUUCUUCUUUUUCUUUUCGAGUUCCGAUCGUGUGUUCGAGAUUUUCCUUACCGGAGUUUUGUAAUAACAUAUAUCUAUGGUUGUUGACUGUUUGUUGUUUUCUUCAAAGUACAAUAAAACGGUUGCAAGAUAAGGUAUUGGAAGAAUGGGAGGUGUCUGGAUUAGCAAGGUACCAAAUAAGGAGACGUCAUAAAACAUAACAUUGCAGAUAAGGAGACAUCACUGACCUUUGUUCCCACAUAGCUUUGGUUUGCGGUGACCAUUCCUAUAUUUAUUUGUUAGCUUUGCUUUCUCUUUCUUUUUUUUCCCUUAAGUCUGCUUGAGUCUUUUUCUUUUUUUAUAUGUACUUAAUGUAAUAGUAGAAGCCAAGGCAGGACCAUGCUUUUCUAUUGUAAAAUUCAUCACUUCGUUAUUUUAUAUUUGUAUGUUGACACAUUUCCCGUUUCAACAUAUUUCCUUAUUUUAUGCAAGUCGAUUGGUAUUCAUCAUAAAAAUUACGAUAUCAUAUCAAGUUUAAUGGUUACACUUCCAAAACAAAAAAUAGGAAAAAUUAAAUCUUACCAACUAAUAACACUUUCAAAUUACACUGUCUUACAAAAAAAAAAAAAAAAAAGAAGAAGAUACAAUUUGAAUUUUUUUAUCAAAUGGUUUAGCAAGCUAUGCUUUAUAAAAGAGGCAAAGGAAUCCAAGGGAAUCAAAGAUUCCAAAAUCGAUAUUUAGAUUCAAGAUUUUGUAUCCCCAUGCUUUGCUUCUUAUAUCUACCAACAAUAUCUUGAUGAUAACAAACUAAAAAAAACUAUUCAAGGGAAUCGAAGAUUUCAAAUCCAACAUAAUUGAUUGAAAAUUUCACAUCCACUUAAUUAAUUCAAAUGAUAUUUAGUCAAUAAGUUUAAAUUAAAAACUGCAAGAAUCUUCAUUUAUCUUUUAUUCGAAAUGUAAUUCGGAUUCAAUGAAAAUAUUGAACAUAUAAUGUGUGCACAUGGAAAUGUCCAAAUCUUUAAAUAUAGGGUCGACAUGGGAGAAAUCUCCUCAGACAUUGAAUUUAUUGAGUGCAUUUUCAGAGGAAAAUCCUGAAACAUGUUACAGGCAAAUAUUAAGAAAAACAAUGCACAAGCAUAAGUACAAAAACAUAGCAUGCAAGAAAUCAAUACUUGAAAGGAUUAAAAUCACUGCUAACCUAAGACAUUGAAUCUAGCACCACUAGGAAACAUCCGAAAUGAUACUUGUCUUUCAAUGUUGAGAUACAUACGUCCAAGUCUGCCAUGUUGCGCCAAACUGGAAUUCAUCAACCUNNNNNNNNNNNNNNNNNNNNNNNNNNNNNNNNNNNNNNNNNNNNNNNNNNNNNNNNNNNNNNNNNNNNNNNNNNNNNNNNNNNNNNNNNNNNNNNNNNNNUUAUAUAUAUAUAUAUAUAUAUAUAUACAGACACACACACAGAUAGACAUGAAGAAAGUGGGUUAAUGGUGUAUUAUUUAAGUAAAGAAAAAGUUGAAAUCUUAAACCUCUAAAUAUUGGGUAACAGCUAGUGUUAAAAGUGCAUAAAGUUCUUCUAUUAUCUACAAGAAACAAUGGAGGAAUCACAUACAUUGUUUAUAUUCACUUUUCUUGCUACACAAGCAAGCUGAGUCCAUAAACAAAGGCAUACCUUUUCUCCGUUUUUAAAUGGUUUUCUUGUUUCUUGGCUGCUUUUUAUAUUAAGAAGAGAGAUUGUGAGACCUCGUCAUCCUCAAGGAGUAAGUGGUCCAGCAUGAAGAUGAUGGGAAGACCAUGAGUCGAUGGUGGUCAAUCCAUGAGUUGAUUAUGAGUAGUUUCAUGUUAUGAAAUAAAAAUGUUAGCUAAAGUUAGUUGAACGCUGUGUUUUAGGGUUGAGGGUUUAAUGAAACUAUCAGUUUUGAUGUUGAAUGAAAAUGGUGCGUAUUGACGGUUUGUUACAACUGCUCGAGGAACAGCCCUAUAACAGACUUUGUAACUGCCAAUUCUCAGCCAUAAUAGAAACUGGCAUGGGAAAUGGGCAGAUAUGCCAUUUUGUGAAGGAAAUCAAUUCUUUCUUCUUCCUUGAUUCUCUUUCUCUUCUCUCUUUUUCUUUCUUCCUCUAUUCUGUUGAAAUUAUGCAUCACUUCACCAGUAUUCAUCAUUGUGGACGUAUCUGAUCUUCAGUCUCUGGUUUACUGCCCAUGUAAAGUUAUGGAAAGAAAUGCAAAUUUAAAAGGAUUUCUUGCUAUAGUCUAUGCAAUUUCAUGUGUGCGUGAAAGGAGAUGAAGAUUAAUAGAGUAAUACUGAUAUACCAACAAUUCAUUAAUUGAAGUACUAUCAAUAUUAUCAACAAGUAACAGGAUUAAGUGAGUAUACUAAUAUAGUCUAGAAAAGCAAUUUAAUUAAUAAUACCAUAGGGAUGGCAAGAGGGUGAAGUUGCUAUUGCUAUUUAUAUCUCAGCUGCUAGCUUUUGACGACUUCACCAAGUAAACUGCAAUCACAAGUGUUGUUCUUAUUACCUGCAAAAACAGAGCCAACAAUCUGAAUCCAUAUCCCCAUUUUAGGAACAANNNNNNNNNNNNNNNNNNNNNNNNNNNNNNNNNNNNNNNNNNNNNNNNNNNNNNNNNNNNNNNNNNNNNNNNNNNNNNNNNNNNNNNNNNNNNNNNNNNNCCGUAUCUGACACUUAUAUUCAACACAUAUUCAUGUAUUGGUAUGAAGAUAUGAUAUUCUUAUCCUAUACUCAUAUCCGUGCUCAGGUAACAUAAACUGAACCCGCAAGAUAACUGAUUUAACAUUGCAUUGCUGCUAGCUAUUGAUGAUUUCACCAAGUAAACUGCAAUCACAAGUGUUGUUCUUAUUCCUUGAAAAAACACAGUCAACAAUCUGAAUCCACAUUCCCAUUUUCGGAACAAAACCAUGGCGUACCAUUUGUUUCAAAGCCCAAUCAACUUCCUUUACCAUCUUCCCCUUAUAAAAACCAUGAAUCAACUUCUUGUAUGAAUCAAAACUAGGAUUAACCCUCUCGAAAACCAUUCUCCCCAUAAUCUCCUUUGCUUCCAUAAACCUCGCAGCAUCAAGCAAACCAUACAACACCUCUUGAUAAGACCCUGCAUUGGGAUAACACCCUUUCUUUUUCAUAAUUUCCAACAGCUUCACACCUUCAUCAAUCCUACCUUGUUUCCUAAGACCUGAAAUCAAGAUAUUAAAGCUAACAGCAUCAGCAUCGAUUCCUUCCGUUUCCAUCCUCCCCAUCAACUCAAAAGCUUCAUCAACCUUCCCCUUAUCGCACAACCCGUGCAUUAAAGUAGAAUAAGUUCUAACAUUAGGCUUACACCUUUGUUUAGGAAAUUCAUCGAGCAGUUGGAAUGCAAACUCUAAUUUCCCAUUUUCACACAACCCUUUAAUGAGAAUAUUCAGAGUACAAGCUUCGAUUUCAACACCCAAAUUGGGAGGUAAACCUCGUGAACAACAUCAAAUAGUUUGUUCGAUACGAGUAAGCUCAAUACGAUAUUGAAGGUUUUAACACUAGGCCAAGUCCCAUAUUCUGGCAUACUAAAAAGGAUCUCGAUUGCCCUUUUGAUUCGANNNNNNNNNNNNNNNNNNNNNNNNNNNNNNNNNNNNNNNNNNNNNNNNNNNNNNNNNNNNNNNNNNNNNNNNNNNNNNNNNNNNNNNNNNNNNNNNNNNNNNNNNNNNNNNNNNNNNNNNNNNNNNNNNNNNNNNNNNNNNNNNNNNNNNNNNNNNNNNNNNNNNNNNNNNNNNNNNNNNNNNNNNNNNNNNNNNNNNNNNNNNNNNNNNNNNNNNNNNNNNNNNNNNNNNNNNNNNNNNNNNNNNNNNNNNNNNNNCAGCCAGUCUUUGUGGGUUAGUUUGAAAAGGGCAGGGGAAGUGGAGUGGGUUGGUUGAUGGUAGCUGGAAAAUGAGGAGAAAAACGAAAGGGGUUUAAGAGAUGAGAUUUUAGUGGCGAUUGGAUGGUGAAAAAGUGAGGGAAAAUUUUGGGGGUAAGAGCUUUUGACAGAAGAAAGAAGGGAACGUGAAAUCAUGCGUUUGGCCAUUGGAGAAUGUAGAAACUGGAGAGCUAAAAGCUUUGUGCUAUUCGCACUAUAAACAUAUAUAGGGUAAGGGACAGGCUUAAUACUUGUUUUGUCCCCUGUAAUAUAGUAAAAAAUCUCAUUUUGACCCUUUUCCUUUACUUUGUCUGUUUACUUUCAUUUCGUCCAUCAUGUUAGUCUAUUGAUCAUUUCCGUAAAUCCCAUGUGUUAGGGUUCCUAUAUUAUAGUAUUCAUCCAUAUACUUUAACCCUCCACGUAGUCGCAAUCAAUUGGCUUAAAUGAUCACACACGAGGAUCACUAUAGUAUAAGGACCAAAGUGAGAAUUUUAUUAUUAAUUAAGUGACAAAUACGUAAACAUGCACUAAUUUUUUUAUACAGAAAUGGUCAAAGAAUUAAAGUGAUAGAUGAAAUGAAAGUAAAGGGCGCAAAGUGAUUGGAAAAUUAGUAAAAGGUUGGAAAAUAUGAAGAGAUUGUAUGAUGCAAAACUUAAAUAAUUUAUCUACUGCAAUUUUGAGGUGUAUUAAUUUGAAGUAAUGAAUCAUUGUUAUUUACAACUAUAUAUUAUAUCUCUUUGAAAUGUACAAAUAAAUUAAUGGGCAGAAUGUUUAUGAAUGUCAAAACUUUAUUUUUGCUUCUUCUUCCCUUCAAGAAUUGGUUGGAUUUGGAGAUGCCAAUUGAAAGCCUGGUUCAAAAGGAAUCGAGUUUGGAAUGCCGAAAUGAUCGGAAGCCAUGCCAAUAUAGCAAUUGGAGAGAAAAGGAUCGAUCCCAUUCCGUAAUCAUAUGCCUUAGCUAGUACCUCAGUGAACUGCCAGAGUCCGGUGUUCUCAAUAAUUGGCCUCACAGCUUGAGCAACCUGAAGGGAACUAAAAUGUCAGAGGGAAUAAGGCAAAAGAUGUAAACUCUAGACAAAAACUAUAUGCCGAUCCUCUAAAUAUAUGAACAAAUUUAAAAAAAAAAAUUGGCCAUGCCCGUAUUUGAUACUUAUUGUUGAAUUCGAGUAACAUAGUCAACUAGACAUACCAAAAUCAGACCCCAUCCAGUCAGCAGAAAUGCAAGACAGCAGACAAGUAAAUCCUUGAACGACAGUUCACAGAUGACUGAGAGACUAAUAACAAUGGCCAAAAUCCUUUACAAUUGUUUGAUUCCUCAGUCAUAUUGCCUUGGAAUCUUCGGAAGUCAAGACAAGUCUAGCUCAUCAGCUUUGCCAUUCAUCUUGAAACUCCAAGCCAAUAUGUCGUGCGUGAACCCAGGCUAUAUAAACAAUGCAAAUAAAAUAUAUGAAAUCACGGUGUACUGUAAGUAUAGAGAUUAAAUUGUAAUAUAGUUUUAGAUUUAUAAUGAAAUACAAAAAUAUUUCAAAAAUCGUACUCAAAGAAAGUAUGAACUAAAAUUGAAUUAAACAUUAACAAAGAAUAUGCAAAACUAAGUCUAAAUAGCUACUUCCUUAAUUAUGAUAGUAUGAUUAAACAUAAAUUGAAAGUAUAAAACUGGUAGACAAAUCAAUGAGAAAUGACAAACAAUAGUUCAUUAAUAUCCAUGAUUGUAAUUAAUCUAGACUUAUUCUACCAAAUAAUCAAUUUAGUCCUCUUAUCUUUCGAGCUGAUGGAUCUAAAUGGGACAACUGAAUCAGUUCUAGAUAAAAUCUCCUUUCAAUCUCAUCUACUUAAAUUUUCAUCUAGAGUCAUCAAUUUGAUCCAAUUAAUCAACUCAAAGCCUAGAAUUAAAUUAACUAUUCUCACUUCAAUUAACCAACUUUCUCAAAAAUUUAGUUAAGACCCAUUCUAAUGAUACUAGACCCACUUAAUUCGUAAACCAUGAAUAAAGUUAAUGAUACGAAAGAAUAGAGUUGAGAGAUGCGCAAUAAUCCAAAAAUUUCUGAUUGUGGAUAUCUUCUUUGAGUAGCAACUGAAAUUCUCAUAACGAAAGCGUGAAAUGAAAAAAUAAAUAUAUUUUUAUUAAAAUGAGUAUGAAGCGAGUGAAAUGAAAAAGAAAGGAAAACGGAUAAGGCUCCGAUUAAAGUUACUUUAAACAAGUAAAUAUAUUUUAUUCAAAUUUAUAGUUUAUUAUAUUUAUCUGUAAUCCUCACUUUAAAAAAGCAUUCCAAAUAUGCUUCCUCACUAGAGGUAAUAAUGGGUUGGACGGCCCGGCCUGACGGCCCACCCGAAAUAUGGGAGGAUUUGGGUAAAAAUAUAAGCCCGAAAUAUGGGUUUGGGUAAAAAAUGAGACCCGUUUAGAAAACGGGCUGGGCCUUAGGCAAAAAGUUUUUGGCCUGGGCCGAGCCUGGACAAAAUUUUAGUCCCAUAUUUUGGGCCGGGGUAGGCCCAGGGAUAGGACGUAGGCUGAAAAUUUUUUUUGGGCCUUGCCCGAACCCAGCCCGGCUCGGCCCAUGAUCACCUCUGUUCCUCACCUUAUCAUUUUUGCUUUUUUUCAAGUGCCAUUAUAAUUUUUGUUAAUCUUUCUUUUCCCUUAAUUAAAGCUUGAUGACUUAUAUUAUAUAUAUCCAUUUUAAAGAAAAUGUCACUAAAUUAUUGCUUUCGUUCUGUUUUGGUUAUUAAAUUAUUAAUUUUUUCGAUUUCGUUACUAAAUUUUUCGAAAUUAAUUAUUUUGAUCACUUUCUCGUUAAUUGUCAUUAGAUAAGUGAGGAAAAGCUAACACAAGUUUAUUUUAUUGUUCAAAGUAAUCCCUAUAUAUUAAAUAAAAAUUCAAUUUAAUUAUUGAAUUAAACUAAAAAUUCAAAUAAACUCAUAAUAUUACAACUUUUUUAUUAUAUAUAAUAUUUCCAAAUAAUAAAUUUAAAUUUAUUAUGAUUAUCAAACUUUUGUUUCAAUAUACCUACUAUAGUAUAUUUUCACUUUUUAAAUUGAUUAUAAUUAUUUUUUAAAUGUUAAUUUAAUAAUACGAUAAAAAAAUAAAUGAUAUUUUUAUCGAUUUAAUUUUUUUAAACUUAUGCUUUUAUAGAUAUUAUAGAUGGAUUAUAGAUUAUAGGAAUAGGGUCUAAUGGCUAAAAAGAAAAAUUAUGUACCGGCUAUGUGAAGGCAUUAUACAAUGGAUCAUCAAAGUAGAAAGAUUAGUAUUAGAUAAAGUGAAAGUGAGUGUCCUCCACUCAUUUUACUUUUAAAAAAAAAAAUUUAAACAAAAAAGACUUUACUUUUGUUCUACGAACCUUUCUGUUUGUAGGAUUUCUGCACUCACAUCUUGAAAUCCAAAUUCAAGAUUUUAAAGAAAUUUCUGAGCUUACUCACUAUUAUGGCUUGGUCUGCUGUGACAUCUGCAGUGACAACAAUUGGCAACCUACUAACUCAGGAAGCCAUAUACCUAUGGGGUGUGGAGGAGCAAGUUAUGGAUGCAAAGCUCCUUAAUGGAGGCAGAGACAAAACAAUCAAAGGAUGAGAGGAUUCGUCUGUGGCUUGCUGAAAUCAGAGAGCUUGCUUAUGAUGCUGAGGAUAUUGUUGAGGAAUUUGCUCUCAAGAUUGGAUCCAAAAACAAAGGUGGCCUUCCGAGUUGUAUUAAAAGAUCAGCCUGCUGUUUGAAAGAGGGAUGGGUGCUCCAUGAAACCAGGUCAAAGAUCGAGAAAAUCAUAGAAAGAAUCAACGACUUGGUCCGGCGACUACAGGCCUACGGAGUAAAGGAAUUAAAGGACAGAGGAGAAGAAUCAAGUUUUUCAACUGAAAGACGAGAAUCAAGGCGGCCUUAUCCACAUAUUAUGGAUGAUAAUAUUGUUGGACUAGUUGAUGAUACCGAGGGAUNNNNNNNNNNNNNNNNNNNNNNNNNNNNNNNNNNNNNNNNNNNNNNNNNNNNNNNNNNNNNNNNNNNNNNNNNNNNNNNNNNNNNNNNNNNNNNNNNNNNNNNNNNNNNNNNNNNNNNNNNNNNNNNNNNNNNNNNNNNNNNNNNNNNNNNNNNNNNNNNNNNNNNNNNNNNNNNNNNNNNNNNNNNNNNNNNNNNNNNNNNNNNNNNNNNNNNNNNNNNNNNNNNNNNNNNNNNNNNNNNNNNNNNNNNNNNNNNNNNNNNNNNNNNNNNNNNNNNNNNNNNNNUUGAUGAUGUUUGGACCAGUGAAGCUUGGGAUAGUCUAAAACCUGCCUUUCCAGUUGCAACGGGCCGUGAUAGCAAUAGCAAGAUAUUGCUCACCUCUAGAAACAAGGGGAUAGUUUCAGAUGCUGAGAUAAGAGGUAAAAUUUUCUUAAUUAGGUAAAAUUGAAUACUCUUAUUCCUUUGAUGGAAAAUAACCAUGUAUAUUAUUUCAGAGUUGAAGUGCCUAAACGAUGAAGAAAGUUGGGAAUUGUUUCAAAAGAUUGUAUUUCCUCAAACAGGUAAAUAUACGUAUAGCAAAAUUCUUGUUAUAUGCUAAAUUUAUUUUUCAUUUAAAAUUUUUUUUUGGUGAAAGUAAGGACCUUAUCUUUGAUAUGCCUCAAAGUUAAUGUUUUCGAAAGCCCCCACAAAGAAGGGACACCCAAGUAGGCGUCCGAAUUAUUUGCCACCUCUAAGUUAGUCUCUUCUUGAAUCAACCUUUCGUUGUCCCUUUGGGAGUAUUCACACUAAAAACGUUGCUUGAUUUAUCAUAGUUGACCCUUCGUCCAGAAGCUGCACAAUAUUCUUGAAUCAAGUUAAUCAUUCUCCUACAAUUUAACGAACUAGCUUCCAAAAAGAAUAGAAAUCGUUCGUGAAUAACAAAUGUGACACUACUGGAUAAUGACUACUAAGGCUAAUCCCAGAAAUAAAACUAGACUCGACUCUAAUAAUAAUCACUACCCCUAGAACUCCUUUCAAUAUAUUCACCAUGAUCUUCGAUAUGAUUUAAUACUUAAAAUUACAAGGACUAAUUGACCUAAAUUAUGUCAUUAAUUCAAGACAUUUAGUUUUCAGAAUUAAAAUUAUUUCAAUCUCGUUCAAAAAUUUCCCUUCCCUUAAUAGCUUCCAAAACAUCCUUUUUAAUAAUUUCCCAAUAAUUAUUAUAGAAAAUCCCGUUAAAAUCAUUUGCAAAAAAAGAGAUUAAUUUAAUUGUUUUGUAUGCUUAACUUGUACAAUAUAAGUAAAAUCUUAUAAUUUUAUCUCCAAAUUCUCUCAACACAAUUUUCUGACCCUUAUUUAUAAUCUCAUUUGCAUCACACAGGAUAUCCAAUUUAAAAUUAAAUAAUUUUUUUUAUAUAAUUCUUUAAAUAUUAAAAGUAUUUUCCUCUAUUAUUUUUUUUUGUUGGAGUAUUAAAUAUUAGCCUUGAAACCAUAAGGCAGGAACUAUUCCAAACAACCCUUAAAAAGAUAUGUAAAUUUUGUUUUUGAAUAUCAUUUUUACUUUUUUAGAUUUCAAAUUGGAUAAUGAACUAUAUAUUUAUUCAUUCGAAACUCCUCUUAAAUUAGUGAGAGUGAAGUUUCUUAUUUAGUAUUGAUUGUUCCAUAAAAUUUUCAAAGUUUUCAAAGUUUUCAAAUAGAUUUAUUUUUUCAAGUGUAGUUAAUAACCGCAAUAAAAAUUAAACUUUAUAAGUGAUAAAUUUAUAUUAAAAAUUGUUUGAUAUAUUCAUAAAAUAUAAGUUUGAGUUCAUCUACUUUUACAUUUCUUUUACCUAUUUAAAUUAUUUCUUAAUUUUCCUUAUUUUUUAAAAAUUUAUUCUUAAUUUUUUAUAUAGGAAAUAUAAUCGACGUGGAAAUGAAAAAGUUAGGAGAGAACAUGGUUAAACAUUGUGCAGGGCUUCCAUUAGCCAUUGUUGUGUUGGGAGGAAUUUUGGCUACAAAGAAUAAUUCAUUAAACGAAUGGCAAAAGAUAUCUGACAAUGUAAAAUCAUACUUGAAGAGAGGCAAAAAUCAAGGACCAAAGGAUGUGUUAGCAUUAAGUUAUGAUGAUUUGCCUCCUUAUCUAAGACCAUGUUUCCUCUAUCUAAGCCAUUUUCCGGAGGAUUAUAUGAUAGAUAUGGAUAGAUUGAUUCAAUUAUGGGUUGCUGAAGGUAUUGUGUCAUCAAAGCAAGAAGAAAGAGACGGUGGGGAAAUUGCGGAAGAUGUGGCGGAAUCUUAUUUAAUGGAGCUUGUGGAAAGGUGCAUGAUUCAAGUACGAGAAAGAGAUGUGGCAACCUUAAAGGUCAAAACAAUUCAGAUGCAUGAUCUGAUGAGAGAUCUUUGCUUAUCAAAGGCAAAACAAGAAAAUUUUGUCUUCAUUGUCGAUCAAUCAAAUGCAUCUUCAUUAUCUAUGAUUCGGAAGGUUCGUAGGGUUUCUGUGCAUGAGUUUUUUUUCAUACAAUGCAUUAAAAGUCCAAAUAUUCGGUCAGUUUUGUUCUUCGAUGAGUUCUUUCCGGAGGAGGCAUUAGAAAAAUCUUUGCCCUUGGAAGUGUUGAAUUACGUUGAAGAACAUGUAGAUGAAGUUCGUAAUCCACUUGUUUGGAUUCUUAUGAUUUCGCUAGGUUGUACGAGACUUCUUAAAGCUCGGGGAAUUUGGAGAUACAUGUUCAACAACUUCAAAUUGCUAAGAGCCCUAAACUAUGAGAGAACAGGAGGUUAUCCUUUUGUAGGGUUUAAGUUACCCAGAGAUAUAGGAAAUCUCGUCCAUUUAAGAUUCUUGAGUCUAAAGGAUCAUGAGUUCUUAUGGCCAAAGUUGCCAUCAUCUCUACGCAACUUAAGGUGCUUGCAAACCUUGGAUUUAAGAGUUGGUUGUGGCAUAAUUCAUUUACCUAAUGUGAUAUGGAGGAUGGAGCAACUAAGACAUUUAUAUCUCCCUUUAAGAUGUAAAAGCAGUACUAAGUUGAAGUUGGGUACUUUGAGAAAACUCCUAACACUUGUGAACUCAACACCAAGAAUUGUUAUCUGAAGGAACUUAUGAACAUGACAAAUCUUAGAGAGUUGGAAAUAAAUUCGCCCUUCAAUAUUGAAAAUUUCAAUGAGACGGAGUUGGGCGAGAAUCCACCCAUAAUCGGAAGUAAAUGUCUUCAUUCCUUGUCUAUUAUUACCUCUGGGGACGAAUCAAUAGAUCCAAAACAUUUGGCCCAUCUCCUUUCAAAUUGUACAAGUAUUUGCAAGUUGAGUAUAGAAACAAGGAUAAGCGAGUUACCAGAGUAUCACUACUUCUCUUCACAUCUCGCUUAUAUAGGGUUGAGAUGGUGCAAGCUUGAGAAAGAUCCAAUGCCAACACUAGAGAAGCUGCCUAACUUAAGGAUUCUUGAACUCGAAAGUUAUUUCGAAGGAAAGGAAAUGUUUUGCUCUGCUCAUGGUUUUCCUAAACUUGAGUCUCUAAUCCUUACUGAGGUCAACAAUUUGGAGGAGUGGAAGGUGGAUGAAGGAGCCAUGCCUUCUCUUCAGCGAUUGGAGAUCAAGGGUUGCCUAGGAUUGAAGAUGCUUCCAGAGGGAUUGAGGUUCAUUACAACCCUCAAAGAACUGAAGAUUGAAUCAAUGCCAAAGGCAUUCAAAGAUAGAUUGGAGGAGGAAGGAGGAGAAGAUUUCUACAAAGUCAAACUUGUUUCUUCUAUCAUAUUCCAAAACUGUGGCUAAUAGAUUGAAGGAUAAUUGAGGGGUAAUUUCAUAACCUCUAGAUUAGGAAAUGAUUCCUACUUUCUUUGCUUCUUAUAUAUCUUCCAUUUUUGACAAUGUCUCACCUUCUCACUCCAUUUGUCUACACACGAAUGAAUAAUUAGAUUUAUUAAAAGUUAAAGGAAGUCGGACAUUGAUAUUUUUAGUUUUGCUUUUCAGGUAAAGAAGCCAUUUUUUCACCUGCUACUGCUAUUUACGGGAUCAAGUCUAGAUUUAAAACUCCUAUUAUAAGUUGCGUGUGAAAGUGUGUUAUAUGGUGAGGUUUGGAAUUAUCUUCUCUGUUGCAUAUAUCUAUGGUUGUUGACAUCAGACUGGUUGACUGUUUGUUGUUUUCUUCAAAUUACAAUAAAACGGUUGCAAGAUAAGGUAUGGGAAGAAUGGGAGGUGUCUGGAUUAGCAAGGUACCAAACCCCUCCUCCAUUUUAAUUUCCUUCAAUCUAAUUUAAUUACACAUUCAUUUUUGUCUUUUCAAACAUAAAAUUGCAGAUAAGGAGACGUCACUGACCUUUGCUCCGACAUAGCUUUGGUUUGCGUUGACCGUUCCUAUAUUUAUUUGUUAGCUUUGCUUUCUCUUUCUAUUUUUUCCCUACUUAAGUCUGCUUGAGUCUCCCUUUUUUUAUAUGUACUUUACCUAAUAUUAGAAGCCAAGGCAGGACCGUGCUUUUCUAUUGUAAAAUUCAUCACUUCGUUUGUCAAUGUUCAUUUCUACUCUUCAGUUUACUUAAAUAUAAUUGUUUGAUAUAUAUUUGAAUAUGAAGAAUAUAAUCUUUUUAAGAUAUACAUAUUUUAGAAAAAAUUGAAUAUAUGUAUGUCGGACACAUUUCCCGUUUCAACAUAUUUCCUUAUUUUAUGCAAGUCGAUUGGUAUUCAACAUACUCUUUUCCGUCAUCCUUAACUCAAUAAUCUUUGUUACGAUAUCAUAUCAGGUUUAAUAGUGGCAGUUCAUCCCCACACUUCCAAAGCCAAAAAUAGGAAAAAAAUUAAAUGUUACCAACUAAUAACACUUUCAAAUUACAUUGUCUUACAAAAAAAAAAAGAUACAAUUUGAAUUUUAGCAAGCUAUGCUUUAUAAAAGGCAAAGGAAUCUAAGGGAAUCUUUCAUUCAAGAUUUUGUAUCCUCAUGCCUUGCUUCUUAUAUCUACCAACAAUAUCUUUGUGAUAAUAAACUAAAAAAAAAACUGCAAAUCCAACUUAAUCGAUUGGAAAUUUCACAUCCACUUAAUUAUUUCAAAUGAUAUUUAUUCAAUAAGUUUAAAUUAAAAACUGUAAGAAUUUUCAUUUAUCUUUUAUUCAAAAUGUAAAUCGGAUUCAAUGAAAAUAUUGAACAUAUAAUGUGUGCACAUGGAAAUGUCCAAAUCGUUAAAUAUAGGGUCGACAUGAGAGAAAUCUCCUAAUGCCCAACGUUAAAUAUUUAUAAAAUUCAAUAUGAUCCUAUUAUUUUCGUUAUAAAACUCAAUAUCUUAUUCGGAUUAGGAUACAAGCGAAUAACAGAUAACUAUUUGUCGUUCAAGGUAUGAUAAAAUCUCAGUAGCUAAGAUAUGAAUGUUGCAAAAUACCAUACAAAAUCACAGCCACAUUUGUUAGUAUGGCUAUUUUGGGUAAUCAAAGGAAAAAAAUGUUAGCUGUUGAGCAAACAAGGUGAACAGAUUAGAUAUUCCAAUUACGUUCAAGCACUUGACAAAUCCUUUCUGCAAUGGCUUCAGCACGCAUCCUAGGACCUUCAUCAUCUGCAAAAAUCGACCAUUUCUAACAACUAAGCUAACAUCACACAUGAUAAUAUAUGUAUAUAACAUAUAUAGAUGAUGAUUAUGUGGAUUAAAAGCUAUGUUAGUUUGACUCAAUACAUGACCAUGGGACAUGCACGAUUCUUCAAUAACGANNNNNNNNNNNNNNNNNNNNNNNNNNNNNNNNNNNNNNNNNNNNNNNNNNNNNNNNNNNNNNNNNNNNNNNNNNNNNNNNNNNNNNNNNNNNNNNNNNNNUUAAAUACAUCAAUAUCUAACAUUUACAUCUGAGUUCGAGUAAAGUAAAACAUGUCAUUCUACCUAAACAUGCAAAAUAUCCAAGACUCUUGACGAAUGUUAGAUACAAAUAUGUAGAAUGUACCCAAAAUACCCAUCUCGAACUCAGUAGAGAAAUAUCUAGCACUCAAAAGGCACUAGCUUCAACCAAGAACAAGGAAGUUUCUUCAAAGGCUUGAUAUACUUUCUUCACGGCCAUAUAUAUGUGUGCAUAUACCCAUAUUAAGGACGAUUGUUUUGGCAAAGAGGAUGAGAAGAUAGAAAGAAAACCUUUAAUCCAAUGACAAUAUUUGAUUAUAACAACAUGACACAUAUAAUUGUGAUUAAAAUUGUGGUCACAAACAUGUUUGCAAUCACAUCAUGUUAACGAAUACUAUCGCAAUCAAUUGCAAUAAAUAUCCACAACAAGAAGAGCGAAAAUCCUAAAAACAACAAAGAUAAUACAUUACAGCUGUUAAAGAAUUUUCAAUAACAUAUAUACCUGCAAGAUUUUCAGUGAUGACACAACAAAGUUCACCACCAGACAACUUCCCGAUCUAAUGAAAUUUUCAAACAUAUCAUAAGUUUCAAGAUCAACUGAAACAUGCGAAUACUGUUGGUGUUAAGAGGUAACAGCAAGCUGAUUUGAGCUUGCUUAUACAGCAAGGCUCGAGGCUUGCAGAAGAAACAAUUGAAGAAAGAAACAGAAAAUGAAGCUUGCGAAUGGAAAACAGAAAAGAAAGAAAAAGUUUGAAUGAAAACAAGCUAAAAUUUUCAUUAAUUGUCAAAGAGGCAUAAUGCCAUUAUAUAUAUGAGUUAACAAUCACAAAAUAAACAAGUUACUACCUAAACUUAGACCUAACACCAUUAAUUUACAUUGAACUUGUUAAAUUUGCUUGAGUACAUAAACAAGUCACCUAAACUUGUCAUUCAGCACCUAAUUACAUCAAAAUGCAGCUACCAACUAAGUUUUAUUCAAACUAGAAUACAAAACAUUCAUUAAAGAAACUAAAUGAAACAAAAUAACUUCAGUUUGCUGCUUGAAGCACGUUCUCUGCAUGGCCACCUUGGCUGCUGCAUGGGGGCUGACUUCAACACUCUUCCUCAGCUUCUAUGCUGCAGACUCCUAGUUGCUUUCUUAGGCUUAGAAAUCUCGUUGUACCAAGAGACUUUGUAAAGAUAUCAGCAAUUUGAUUUUCAGAGCUGCAAUAAAUCAGCUCGAUCUCUCGAGCUUGUUCCAGUUCUCUUAUCACAUGCAACUUUAUGUUGAAGUGUUUUGUUCUGCCAUGAAAGACUGGAUUUUUGGCAAUUACAAUAGCUGACUUGUUGUCACAAUAAAUCUUGGUUGCUUCAUUAAAUUCAAAUCAGUGAGGAUUUUUCUUAGCCACAUAGCUUGAUUAACAACAUUAGCAGCUACUACAUACUCUGCUUCUGCUGUUGAUUGAGCCACCAUUGUUUGUUUUCUUGAACUCCAACAAAUCAUAGUUGAGCCAAGUGUAAAAGCAUAACUAGAAGUGCUCUUCAUAUCAUCUUUUGAACCAGCCCAAUCGCUGUCAGUGUAGUCAAUCAAUUUCAACUCUUCAGCCUUUUUAAAAUGUAUUCCAUGGUUCAAGGUACCUUUGAUGUACCUUAGCACCCUUUUUCCUGCUUUGUAAUGCUGCUGAUUACAACAAUGCAUGAAUAUUGACAGCAUGCUUACUGCAAAUAGAAUAUCAGGUCUCGUUGCUGUCAAAUAUAACAAGCAGCCAACAAGGCUUCUAUAAUCUGUUCCACUGAUAGGUUCAUGAUCUUCUUGACUCGAUAGUUUCAUGCCAACAACCAUAGGUGUGCUGGUUGGCUUGUAGUUCUCCAUUGAAAAUUUGGCUAGAACUUUCAAAGCAAAUGAUUUCUGUCCCAAGAAGAUUCCUUCAUCUGCUUGAUUAACUUCCAUUUCUAGGAAGUAAGUCAUCAAUCCCAGGUCUGACAUUUCAAACAUCUCCUUCAUUUUUGUUUUAAAAUCAGCCAACCUGAGUUUGUCUCCUCCAGUCACUAAAAGAUCAUCAACAAAAAGUGACACAAUGAGCUGUGUUUCAGCUCGAUUCUUUUUAACAUAGAGAGUUGGCUCACUGGCACUUCUUUCAAAUCCCAAACUGACCAGGUAUGAGUCAAUUCAAGCAUACCAGGCUCUAGGAGCCUGUUUCAGGCCAUACAGGGCUUUUCUUAGCCUAUACACCAAAUGUUCUUUACCAGGCAUUGUAAAUCCUGGAGGUUGCUCGAUGUACAUCUCCUCUUCCAACAAUCCAUUGAGAAAUGUAGACUUUACAUCCAUUUGGUGAAUUGUCCACUGAUUCUGAGCAGCUAGAGCAACCAGUAAUUUGAUUGUAUUGAGUCUGGCUAUUGGAGCAAAUGUUUCCAUGUAGUCCAGACCAUAUCUUUGACUGAAGCCCUUCAUAACUAGUCUAGCUUUCAACUUAUUUAAGCUUCCAUUUGCAUUGUGCUUUACUCGAUAGACCUAUUUUACACCAAUGAUCUUUCUGUUAGCAGGUUUCUCAACCAACUCCCAUGUUUGGUUCUUCUCGAUCAUGUUGAUUUCAUCAACUAUAGUGUGCUUCCAGCCUUCAUCUGCCUCAGCCUCUUCAAAACAGGUAGGUUCUGCUAUAGCAACCUGUGCCCUCUCAUAAAUCUCAUCUAGGGACCUUGUUCCUCUCACAGGUACAUCAUCAAUGUCUAUUUCAGGACUAAGCUGCUCGAAUUUAGCUUGAUUAGGCACCAGGUCUUCUGUAAGAGCUUCUAGCUCAUUCUUUUCCCAAUUCCAGCAAGCCUUUUCAUCAAAGAUGACAUCUCUGCUUACCUGGAUUUUGCUUGUGAGGGGAUCUAGGAUCCUGUAGCCCUUCUUAGUUGAGCUAUAGCCCACUAGGAUACUUGGUUGAGCCCUUUUUGCAAGCUUGUCCCUUUUUACUGCUGGUAUUUGUGCAUAGCACAGGCAACCAAACACCUUCAGAUGUGCCAAGGAAGGCUUGAAUCCAAACCAAGCCUCGAAAAGUGUCUUGGAAGCAAGAGCUUUGGUAGGAAGCCUAUUCUGGAGGUAGACAGCAGUGUUUACUGCCUCAGCCCACAUGCUCUUGGGCAGUUUCUUCUCAAACAGGAGGCAUCUGGCCAUAUCCAUCAGGCUUCUGUUCUUCCUUUCAGAUACCAUAUUCUGCUGAGGUGUGUACACAUUUGUUAGCUAGUGUUUGAUCCCAGCAUCACUACAAAUGGCUUGAAACUGAGCUGAAGUGUACUCAGUGCCAUUGUCUGACCUUAUCGAUUUUAGCUUGCAGCUUGUUUCUGUCUCAACAGUAAUUUUAAACUUUACAAACACUUGAGCUACCUCAGACUUGUGUUUCAAGAAGAAAAUCCAGCAAAACCUUGUAAAAUCAUCAAUGAAGAGGAUGAAAUACCUGUUUUUGCUAAGUGAUUCAGUCCUCAUCGGGCCACAUACAUCAGAGUGCACCAGCUGUAAUCUUUCAGUGGCUCUCCAUGCUGAAUUUGUAAGAAAUGGCAAUCUUGCCUGUUUUCCUAUCUGGCAAACUUCACACACAUCAUUAUGCUCCACUGAGUUGGUGAAGUUCUCAGCUAGACCCUCUUUGGCUAUUUGAGCUAUUGAUUUGAAAUUGGCAUGUCCAAGCCUUUGAUGCCAGAGCUUGGAAUUAUCAACAGAGGCUGUGUAUGCUGACUUUGAGUAAUUUGGCCAAUGAACCUCAAAGCAUUUGUCAGUCAUUGUGACUGUCAUAAGGCUUGAUCCACUUGGAUCAGCAAUGUGGCACUGUUUGUCCUUGAACACAACUGAAUAGCCUUUCUCGAGCAAUUGAGCUAUGUUGAGAAGGUUUCUGUCAAUCUCAGGCACCAACAGGACAUUUGAGAUGAUUUUGUUGCUUGUAGGAGUGCAUAACAUCACCUCUCCUCUUCCUUCAACCUUUAUAAACUGACCAUUUCCAACCUUGACCUUGGUUUUGCAACUUCUGUCCAAGGUUUUGAACAAGGAGGCAUCUGGUGACAUGUGGUUGGUGCAGCCACUAUCCAACAACCAGCCUUUAGAGCAUUUCUUCUCAGCAGCUAAGCAAGACACAGCAAAUACCUGCUCUUUUUGGUCACUACUGUCUUCAACCACUCGAGCUUUUUGCUUUUGACUGUUGAAAUUGGUUCUGCCUUGGUUUGGUUUUGUUUUUACACACCUUUUCGACAUGGCCCUUCUUUUUGCAGUGUUGGCAUACUACAUCUGGUCUAAACCAGCAUCUGUCUUCUGGAUGUCCUGGUCUCUUGCAAUAUCUGUAAGGCUGGUCACUGCUCCUUGCAGCAUCAGGCUUAGGCCUAUUUUUCCAGGGCCUUUUACCUCUAUGAGCAUUGAUGCUCGAGGCUUCUCUGGCCUUGGCUUGAAAUGCACCUUCCUGGUGAUCUUCAGCUCUGCUAGCUCUUCUUUGUUCCUGAGCAUAGAAAGUGUUAAUCAGCUCAGUCAAAGAGAUGCUAGCAAGGUCUCUUGAGUCCUCUAAGGAGGAUAUCUUUGCCUCAUGUCUCUCAGGCAAAGUGGAGAGGACUUUCUUCACGAUUCUUGCCUUAUCAAAGUGCUCACCUAGGAGCCUUAUGCUGUUAACCACUGCCAUGAUUCUAUCUACAUACUGCUUCAUUGUUUCUUCUUCCCUCAUCUUCAGAUUCUCAAAGUCUCUCCUCAAAUUCAACAGUUGUUGUUGCCUUGUCCUUUCUAUGCCUUGAAACUCCUCCUAAAGCUUAUUCCAGGCCUGUUUUGGAGUCUCAUAGGCCAUAAUUCUGGUGAAUAUGACAUCUGACACACAAUUCUGGAUGUAGGACAUAGCUUUGUGCCUUUUGGUCCUCUCAUCAGCGUGUUGUCUGAUCUGAGCUACUGUGAGAUUGGCCCUCAGUGGUGCUGGCUCAACAUCUGUGUUAACAACUUCCCACAGAUCAAAGGCCUGCAAGUAAGUUUUCAUCUUAACCAGCCAUACGUGGAAGCCUUCUCCAUUGAAGACUGGUGGGGCUGCUGGUGAAAAUCCUGAAGAAGCCAUCCUGGUUUUUUGGUUUGAUAUAUCAGGUCCACUAAGACAAGGGCUCUAGAUACCAAUUCUUGGUGUUAAGAGGUAACAACAAGCUUGUAAUGCCCAAUUUUAGCCCGAGCCCAAAACCAAAACAUACAGUCCAUUACAAAUAAAAUUAAUUACAGGCCCAAAAUACCCAACAGGCCCUAAUUAAGAAACCCUAGCCCAAAAACAUAAUUUUUUUUCAGUACCAAACCCUAGCCCCCCUAAGCAUGCGCCGCAUCCCCUUGUCGGCCACUCCCUCGCGCCGCCCCCACCAGUCCCGUCGCCAGGCCGCUCGUGCCGCCCAAGGUGCCCCUCUGUCACACUCCUUUUGACCGAAAUAGCCACCUCCAGACAGAAAAGCAAAAAGAAGAACAAUUAAAAUGAUAGCAAGGGUAGAAGAACAGUGAUAGCAGUUAAUCUUGGCUAUAAGAGCCACGGAAAUAUCAAUGUAAAGGGAGGACAGAUUUUUAGAGUUUGAAAAAAGGGUUCCGAAAAUUUAAAAACAGAAGAAAAUAAAAAAAUAGAUCUAUUCGAAAAGCAAUUUGCAGUUUCUAUUUUGUUCUCUUUUCUUUUGUUUUGAUACAAAAAACAACUUCAAGAACUCAAAAAAGAAAAAAACAGAUCUAAAAUUUAACAUUCCAAGGUGAUUUUAUUUUCGUUUAUAUUUCUUUUCCUUUUGUAUUUAUUUAUUUUUUUCUUUUUCAAAAGAACAGUUUAUAUUUGUGCAAAAAUCAUACAUAGAAAAAUAUAUAAAAAAAUUACCUUUUAAAUUUUUCAGGCCACCGUGCACGGUGGCCGGCGCGGCGGUGGAGCGGCGGCGCUGUUCACCGGAUUCUGGGCAGUGCCCAGAAUGGGGGAGAGGAAUUGAGAGCAUUUUCAGAAAUUUUUUGGAGAAAAGAAGGGAAGAAUGAAAAUUAAAAAUAAAAACCAACUUAAAUAGGCCUCCAAAACGACGUCGUUUUGGGCAGGCCUCUCAGGCACCAAAACGGCGUCGUUUUGGCUUUGACCCGAUUCGCCCGACCCGCUCCAGGCUAGGAUCCGCGUGUUUUUAGCGGAAGGGCUAAUUGCACUUUCAGCCCUUCCGCUUUAAAAUAAUUUUACAAUCAAGGCCCCUUUUGUUUUUUUAAAUUCGCACAGUAGUUUAUUAUUUUUACAAUUUGGUCCUAUGAUGCUGUGCGUUUUGGGAAAGAGGGAAAAAUUGCUCUCUUGAUCCCUUCUUGUUGUUUGCGCGUUCAGCUUUGUCCUUCCUCUUUUAUUUAUUUAUAGAUUUGGCCCCAAAUUUUGUUUUAAUAUCUAAUUUAGCCCUUCUUUGUUAUUUUGUUUGUUUUAUUAUUAAAUUAAUAAAUGAUAUGUUAUUAUUAUUGUUAUUUAUUAUUAGUUUUUAUUUUAUAUUUAUUUAUUUAUUCAUCAUCAUUAUAUAAAUUAGUUUUGCAUUACCUUUUAUAUAUUAUAUUAUAUUAUAUAUAUUAUAUAUAUUUUUUAGUUUUUUUAGUUUUUAUAUAUAUAUAUUUUUAUCUUACUGUAUCUUUAUUAUUUAUCAUUUACUUCAAGCUUUUCUAUGUUUUCUAAAUUAUUAUUAUUAUUAUUAUUAUUAUUAUUAUUAUUAUUAUUAUUAUUAUUAUUAUUAUGUUUAUACUCUUUUAAUUUUAAAUUCUUGUUAUAUAUUUACAUAUACAAACGCAUACUUUUUAUAAUAUAUAUGUACAUAUUUUAUUUUAUUUUAUUUUAUUUUGUGUGUAAAUAUAUACAUUUUCCCGAUGCAUAUACACAUACAUUUUAAAGUUAUUAUAAAUAUAUUUUAUAUUUCAUUUUUCAUACUUACACAUACCUAUAUCUAUUUCUACGUAUUUUAUUACACAUAGAUAUACGUAUACAUAUUUUUAAAUAUUUUUUAUAUUUUCAUAAUUCUAAAAUAUAUAUAUACAUGUAUUUAUAUAUUUUUAUUUCUUUUAUGGUUUCGUUAUUUCGCGCUGUGUUUAUUUUAUUUUAUUUAUUCAUGCCCACUUUCAUUCGAAUAGUGUAUUUGCUUAUUCUUUUGCAUGUUUAAUUCGUUUUUUAUUUAUUUAUCUUUUAUUUGUUGUUACUUGUAUUAUUCAUACUUACAUUAUCGAAUUUAUUAUUGUUUUGUUAUGAGCAUUAACAUCAUGUUUUAUUUCUACUAUUACACGUUAAAUUAUUUUUCAUUCAAUGUAUAAAUUAUGAUUUUUGAAUAAACAAAAUUUCGUGUUUAGAUUUGAGAAAGUCGUACCCUAACUUACUAGGUUUUGAUUUUCACAAUGAAUAUAAAUACGUGGAUCUUUUCAAACUCAAAUUUUCAACGAUCUCGGGAUUUAUAAAAGAUCGUAUCCUAACUUACUGGGUAUGAUCCCUUUUUUAAACCCGAGAUAAUUGAAUAGCUUUUAAAUAAUUUCUUCGGCAUUUAUUCUUGAAUCGGGAAUUUAAAGACAUUGUGUCCUAACUUACGGGAUAUAAUUCUUUUUCUUGAUUAUCGUGAAAAUGCCCUUCUCUCGAAAACUUUUAGCAUUUUAAUAAAAGAUCGUAUUUUUAAAUUUCUUCAAAGUUCUCAAUUUUCGACAUUAAGACAUUAAGUAAUCAACUAGGUACCAAUUUUGGGCGUUACGAGGGUGCUAAUCCUUCCUCGUACGUAACCGACUCCCGAACCCGUUUUCUAAAUUUCGUGGACCAAAAUCGUUGUUUUAAUAAAAUUAAACUGUUUAUUAAAAACAACCAGUUUUCGAGGCGAUCCAAUCACACCUCGUUAAAAAAUGAUUGGUGGCGACUCCCACAUUCGAUUUCAUUUUUUUAAAAACCCAAGUCGAAUCCGUUUUCACCCAAAAAAUGGUGUCAACAAAGCUGAUUUGAGCUUGCUUAUAUAGCAAGGCUCGAGGCUUGCAGAAGAAACAAUUGAAGAAAGAAACAGAAAAUGAAGCUUGCGAAUGGAAAACAGAAAAGAGAGAAAAAGUUUGAAUGAAAACAAGCUAAAAUUUUCAUUAAUUGUCAAAGAGGCAUAAUGCCAUUACAUAUAUGAGUUAACAAUCACAAAAUAAAUAAGUUACUACCUAAACUUAUACCUAACACCACUAAUUUACAUUGAAACUUGUUAAAUUUGCUUGAUUACAUAAACAAGUCACCUAAACUUGUCAUUCAGCACUUAAUUACAUCAAAAUGCAGCUACCAACUAAGUUUGAUUCAAACUAGAAUACAAAACAUUCAUUAAAGAAACUAAAUGAAACAAAAUAACUUCAGUUUGCUACUUGAAGCAUGUUCUCUGCAUGGCCACCUUGGCUGCUGCAUGAGGGCUGACUUCAACAGAUACCAAUUAUGAUAAGAAAUUAAAUUAAGGAUUUUCUACUGCAAGCCUACCACGAAAACAUAAUUUUUAUUAGGAUCAAAGGCGUAGCCCAUCAUGGCAGCAUUAUUGAGUCCAUUUUCAGAGGAAAAUCCUGAAACAUGUUACAGGCAAAUAUUAAGAAAAACAAUGCACAAGCAUAAGUACAAAAACAUAGCAUGCAAGAAAUCAAUACUUGAAAGGAUUAAAAUCACUGCUAACCUAAGACAUUGAAUCUAGCACCACUAGGAAACAUCCAAAAUGAUCCUUGUCUUUCAAUAUUGAGAUACAUACGUCCAAGUCUGCCAUGUUGCGCCAAACGGGAAUUCAUCAACCUCUUGAGAGCCUAAAGGAUGAAAAGUUCAAGUCCGAGUUAUAUAUAUACAGACACACACACAGAUAGACAUGAAGAAAGUGGGUUAAUGGUGUAUUAUUUAAGAAAAGAAAAAGUUGAAAUCUUGAACCUCUAAAUAUUGGGUAACAGCUAGUGUUAAAAGUGCAUAAAGUUCUGCUAUUAUCUACAAGAAACAAUGGAGGAAUCACAUACAUUGUUUAUAUUCACUUUUCUUGCUACACAAGCAAGCUGAGUCCAUAAACAAAGGCAUACCUUUUUCUCCGUUUUUAAAUGGUUUUCCUGUUUUUGGCUGCUUUUUAUAUUAAGAGAAAGAGAGUGUGUGAGACCUCGUCAUCCUCAAGGAGUAAGUGGUCAAGCACGAAGAUGAUGGGAAGACCACGAGUCUAUGGUGGUCGAUCCAUGAGUUGAUUAUGAGUAGCUUCAUGUUAUGAAGUAAAAAUGUUAGCUAAGUUAGUUGAGUGCUGUGUUUUAGGGCUGAGGGCUUAAUGAAACUAUAAGUUUUGAUGUUGAAUGAAAACGGUGUGUAUUGACGGUUUGUUACAACUGCUCGAGGAACAGCCCUAUAACAGACUUUGUAACUGCCAAUUCGCAGCCAUAAUAGAAACCGGCAUGGGAAAUGAGCAGAUAUGCAAUUUUGUGAAGGAAAUCAAUUCUUUCUUCUUCCUCGAUUCUCCUUCUCUUCUCUUUUUCUUUCUUCCUCUAUUCUGUUGAAAUUAUGCAUCACUUCACCAGCAUUCAUCAUUGUGGACGUAUCUGAUCUUCAGUCUCUGGUUUACUGCCCAUGUAAAGUUAUGGAAAGGAAUGCAAAUUUAAAAGGAUUUCUUGCUAUAGUCUAUGCAAUUUCAUGUGUGCGUGAAAGGAGAUGAAGAUUAAUAGAGUAAUACUGAUAUACCAACAAUUCAUUAAUUGAAGUACUAUCAAUAUUAUCAACAAGUAACAGAAUUAAGUGAGUAUACUAAUAUAGUCUAGAAUUAAGUGAGUAUACUAAUAUAGUCUAGAUUUAUAAUGAAAUACAAAAAUAUUUCAAAAAUUGUACUCAAAGAAAGUNNNNNNNNNNNNNNNNNNNNNNNNNNNNNNNNNNNNNNNNNNNNNNNNNNNNNNNNNNNNNNNNNNNNNNNNNNNNNNNNNNNNNNNNNNNNNNNNNNNNNNNNNNNNNNNNNNNNNNNNNNNNNNNNNNNNNNNNNNNNNNNNNNNUUUAAUAUCCAUGAUUGUAAUUAAUCUAGACUUAUUCUACCAAUUAAUCAAUUUAGUCCACUUAUCUUUCGACCUGGUGGAUCUAAAUGGGACAAUUGAAUUAGUUCUGGAUAAAAUCUCCUUUCAAUCUCAUCUACCUAAAUUUCCAUCUAGAGUCAUCAAUUUGAUCCAUUUAAUCAAUUCAAAACCUUAAAUUAAAUUAACUAUUCCCACAUCAAUUAAGCAACUUUCUUAAAAAUUUAGUUAAGACCCAUUCUAAUGAUAUCAGACCCACUUAAUCCGUAAACCAUCAAUAAAGUUAAUGAUAAGAACGAAUAGAGUUGAGGGAUGCUCAAUAAUUUGUGGAGAUCCUCAUAAUGAAAGCGUGAAAUAAAAAAUAAAUAUAUUUUUAUUAAAAUGAGUCAGAAGCGAGUGAAAUGAAAAAGAAAGGAAAACGGAUAAGGCUCCGAUUAAAGUUAUUUAAACAAGUAAAUAUAUUUUUAUCCAAAUUUAUAAUUUAUUAUAUUUAUCUGUAAUUCUCACUUUAAAAAAGCAUUCCAAAUAUGCUUCCUCACCUUAUCAUUUUUGCUUUUUUUCAAGCGCCCUUAUAAUUUUUGUUAAUCUUUCUUUUCCCUUAAUUAAAGCUUGAUGACUUAUAUUAUAUAUAUCCGUUUUAAAGAAAAUGUCACUGAACUAUUGCUUUCGUUUUGUUUUGGUUAUUAGAUUAUUAAUUUUUUUGAUUUAGUUACUAAAUUUUUCGAAAUCAAUUAUUUUGAUCACUUUCCCAUUAAUUGUCAUUAGAUAAGUGAGGAAAAUUACUUUCUCAUUAAUUGUCAUUAGAUAAGUGAGGAAAAGCUAACACAGAUUUGUUUUAUUGUUCAAAUUAAUCCUUAUAUAUUAAAUAAAAAUUCAAUUUAAUCCUUGAAUUAAACUAAAAAUUCAAAUAAACUCAGAAUACCACAACUUUUUAUUAUAUAUAUUUCUUUUUCCAAAUAAUAAAUUUAAAUUUAUUAUGAUUAUCACAACUUUUAUUUCAAUGUAACUACUAUCAUAUAUUUUCACUUUUUAAAUUGAUUAUAAAUAUUAUUUAAAUAUUAAUUUAAUAAUAUGAUAAAAAAAUAAAGGAUAUUUUUAUCUGUUCAAUUUUUUUUAAACUUAUGCUUUUAUAGAUAUUAUAGAUUAUAGGAAUAGGGUCUAAUGGCCAAAAAGAAAAAUUAUGUACCGUCUAUGUGAAGGCAUUAUAAAAGGGAUCAUCAGAGUAUAAUGAUUAGUAUUAGGUAAAGUGAAAGUGAAUUGAUUAAGUCCUCCAAUCAUUUUACUUUUAAAUAAAAAAAAAUUAAACAAAAAAACUCUACUUUUGUUCUACCUACCUUUCUGUUUGUGUUCUCAUUCUAUUAAUUAAGUACUGCUUCUUGCAAUUGUUUUCCCAGCAAGAUUGCGGCACACACAUCUUGAAAUCCAAAUUCAAGAUUUUAAAGAAUUUUCUUAGCUCGAUCACUUUUAUGGCUUUUUCUGCUGUUGCAUCUGCAGUGCAACAAUUGGCAACCUGCUAACUGAGGAAGCCAUAUACCGAUGGGGCGUGGAGGAGCAAGUUGAUCGUCUGCAAACAGAGCUCAAUUGGAUGCAAAGAUACUUAAUGGACGCAGAGACAAAACAAUCAAAGGAUGAAAGGAUUCGUCUUUGGGUUGCUGAAAUCAAGGAUUAGGAAGGUACGAAACACCUCCACUUUAAUUUCCUUCUGCUUAAAUUAGAUGUUUUAAGUUAAUUUUUAGUUUUGAACAUGUUAAAUUGCAGGAUAAUGAGACGCCACUGACCUUUAUUCGGAUGUAGCAUUGCAUUUACAUGUUUGGUUUGCAGUGACCAUUCAUAAAUUUUGCUGUGACUACCCUGUUGCUAGUUCUUUUUUCCUACUUCGAUCUGCUCAAGUCUUUUAUGAUAUAAUUAAAUGUAAAAAUAUGUAAUAGUAGAAGCCAAGACAGGAUAUUGUAAAAUUGAUCAUUUUGUUUUUAAUGACCAUUUGUUCUCAUCUUUUUUCAUUUUUCAUAAAUGUGUCCAAUAUAUAUUUAUUGAAUAUAUUUAUGCUGGACACAUAUCCUAAUGUGGUACACUAAAUCUGAGUCAUAUUGUGCAAUAUUGGUGAAUUACUAGUUGGUGCAGAAUCAUAUACAUCGAUGUUCUGUCAUUUGUUGAAGAUAAAAGAUCCAAAGCCUCCAUUAUUAAAAUGAAAAAAAGAAAGAAAAUUGGAUAUUCGUUUCUUUCUAGAUUUAGAAUAUAGAUAUUUGUAAUAUUGAGAUGAUAAACGAUUAAUAAAUGGAUUAAAUAGGAUCUAAUGUCUAAUUACAAUCCAAGAGGAACAGGCUCCUGCCGCCAUAAAAAAUUCCAUAAUUACUUAUUUUAUUGUAUUUUUUGAUAACACAUUGAUUAUUGCAUGGAACAUUGGUUAAGAACAAAAUAGGAACCAAGAACAAACAAUGUCUUCAAACAUAUUAAAAUGACAGCUCCAAAUCCUUACUUCAAUUAUUGUUGUGUUGGGUUUAUUUUGGAUUAGCUAAUGGAAAUAAUUGAAGCUCAGCAUGACAGCAAAUCAGGUUCUUUUUCUUCUUCCUCUGUCCUUUCUCUCUAUUUAGAUACAUGUUCAUUUCGUGUUUAUUGCAGAUGUUGUCUGAAUGAUUUCUAUGAAUAUUAAUGGCAGCAAAGCUGAAACCGUAAAAUAAUGAUCCAGUAAAGUUGGUGUUUCAGUUUCUAUUUAAAUCGCAAACAACUUCCCUAUUAAUCAAACAAAUGCUCUAAACUUGAAUGUCAUGAACAUGUCAAAAAUCAUACCUUGUAGUCAUGUAUGAAUGUGAGGAAAAGUGAAGAACAGAGAACCACAGGCCACACCUGUCAUCAAUGUGUUAUAACAACAUCCUUAACAUCAUAAGCAAGCUCUUUAAUAACAAUGAAAAUUAACCAUAAAACAAAAUUGAAGGGAACUUUAAAAUAUUUUUUAAUAAUAACUUGGGAAGUACUUUAAAUGUGAAAAUUGGGUGUUUACCCAAAUGAUGAAUGGAUGUCUCCUAGGUAAAACUCCCACAAUCUAAUGGUUACAAAUUAUAUAAGUGUACAAUCGGAUUGUGGUUUCUAGAAUGUUUUAUAAACUAAUAAAUUAAAAAUUAUUUGGUGAAUUAAUAAAAUAUAAGUGUUCAAUAUAAUUGUAUAAUUAAUAUUUUUGGGUUCAUCUAUUUUUACUAUGUGCUUUUUUAAAAAAAAAAAAUUUUGGUUUAACUAUUUUUACAUUUCUUUUAUUUACUGAAAUUCAUUUUUAAUUUUCACUAUUCUUUUAAAUUUAUUUUUAAUUUUUUAUACAAAUAAUAGAAUCGAUAUGAAAAUGAAAGAGUUAAGGAAAAACAUAGUUAAACAUUGUGCAAGGCUUCCAUUAGCCAUUAUUGUAUUGGGAGGAAUUUUAAUGUGUUAACUUUAAGUUUCGAUAAUUUAUCUCUCUAUCUAAGACCAUGUUUCCUCUAUUUAAGUAUACAUAUUUUUUUAAAAUAUAUUUUCAAUUUUUUGGAAAAUAUAUAUUUUUAAUAUUUUUAGUAUUUUUGAUGUAUUUUUUUAAAAUUUAUAUGAACCGGACCGCGUUUUAACAUUUUUAUCCGGACCGAACUUAGAAAAAAUUUUAGAUCCAUUUUUUAUGCCAAACCCAAGUCUAACAAAUGGACCUAAAAUUUUAAUUAGGCACGGCUAUGAACACCUCUAAUUAUUUGUAGCUAAAAUUCCCUGUAAGUUCAAUACAAUUUACUAAAAAUUUCAGUUGAUUUACUUGUUAUAUUCAUCACCUAAAUAAAUCAACAAAUAAAUGACGAAUUAUCCCUCUAAGCUGCAAUAUGAACCUUCCAUCAAUUGUCUCUAGGUUCAGUCAUUUUAUUACAUAAGUAUUCUUAAUUAAAAAAAUAAGGAAAAAAUGUAAUUUAUUCUAAUUAAUUAUUGAGCAAAAAUAAAUAAAAGAAAUUGUUAGAGCCUCAGUUUGUUCUUCAAUUAAAAUAAAAUAAAAUAAAUAAGGAUAAUAAUUUUUAAAAAUAAAUAAAAAUUAAAACAUGAGAAAAUCAAUAUACAUUUUUUAUACUCACUAGUUUUGUUGUCAAGAACUGAAAAGCACUUCAAUUCCUUGUAUCCGAAUACAUAUCCUUUUAAAAUUUAUCGAAAAAUAUUUAUUUUAAUGUAACUUAAAAGAUAACAGCCUGGAUUUGAUUAUCAAAUUAAAAAUUCAAAUAAGUUUACAAUAUUAUCAAUUUUUUUUAAUUUAUAUAUAUAUUUCCAAAUAAUAAAUUUAAAUUUAUUAUGAUAAUUACACCUUUUAUUUUAGUAUAACUAUCAUGAUAUAUUUUUUUCCAAUUUUUUUAAAAAUUUAUUAUAAUUAUUUGUAAAUAUUAAUUUAAUAAUACCAAGAAAAAUAAAAGAUAUUUUUGUAAAUAUAUAUUUUUUUAAAUUGGUACUUUUAUAUAUAUAAUAUGGAUAGAUUAUAAAUAUACAUUGUACAUGGUGGCAAAAAAAAAUGUUUAUAGGGUAUAUGUAAAGGCCAUAUACUAUGGAUCAUCAAAGUAUAAAGAUUAGUAUUAGAUAAAGUGGAAGUGAGUUGAUUAAGUCCUCCACUCAUUUACCUACGUACUCUUCCUUUUUUCUAAUUAAAUAAGACUGAUUAGAUACUUUUAAAUAAAAUACUUUCCUAGUCUUCCUUUUUUUUUUCCCACUUUUAUUUAGUGUUAGAUAAAGUGGAAGUGAGUUGAUUAAGUCCUCCACUCAUUUUCCUACUCUUCCUUUUUUCUAAUUAAAUAAGACUGACUCUAUACUUUUAAAUAAAAUACUUUCCUAGUCUUCCUUUUUUUUUUCCCCACUUUUAUUUAGUGUUAGAUAAAGUGGAACUGAGUUGAUUAAGUCCUCCACUCAUUUUCCUACUCUUCCUUUUUUUUCUAAUUAAGUAAGACUGACUAUAUACUUUUAAAUAAAAUACUUUCCUAGCCUUCCUUUUUUCCAAUUUUAUAAUCAGCAGAUCAAGAAAGAAGUAUUGAUUUUGGGAAAUUUGUUAGUUUAGUGUUCCUUUUCACUAUUUUUAAAAAGUAUUGUAAAAAUGGUAAUUUUGAGGAGUACUUUUAGAAAGUUUAGUUUAAGAUUUAAGUAUUUAGUAUUACUGUAAAAAAAUACUUUUGAUAAAUAAAAUAUCUAUUUUAGAUAUUAUGUUAUAAAGUAAAAAAUAUGUAUUUAAAUAAUGUUUAAAUUAGUUAAUAUUAUGAUAUCUUAGUAAGAAUAUAAAAAUAAUUUAUUAUAAUUUGUUGUUAAUAUUUUAAUAUAUGAAAUAUAAAUUUUAAUUUUUUUAAGUAACUAAUAUUAAUUAUUCAUAAAAUCUAAUUCGAAUAUAUAAACAAUAUUUUAAAUAAUAAAAUAUGAUCAAUAAAAAUUUAAAUAUAUAUCACAACUUUUUUAUUUUAUAUAUAUUUCUUUUUUCAAAUAAUAAAUUUAAAUUUAUUAUGAUUAUCACAACUUUUGUGUCAAUAUAACUACAAUCAUAUAUUUUCACUUUUUAAAUUGAUUAUAAUUGUUUUUUAAAUGUUAAUUUAGUAAUAUGGUAAAAAAUAAAUGAUAUUUUUAUCAGUUUAAAUUUUUUUUAAAAAUUAUGUACUGUCUAUGUGAAGGCAUUGUACAAGGGAUCAUCAAAGUAUAAAGAUUUGUAUUAGGUAAAGUGAAAGUGAGUUGAUCAAGUCCUCCACUCAUUUUACUUUUAAAUUAAAAAAAUUUUAAACAAAUAAACUCUACUUUUGUUCUACCUACCUUUCUGUUUGUAUUCUCAUUCCAUUAAAUAAGAACUGCUUCCUUCAAUUGUUUUCCCAGCAAGAUUUCUGCACUCGCAUCUUGAAAUCCAAAUUCAAGAUUUUAAAGAAAUUUCUGAGCUCACUCACUAUUAUGGCUUGGUCUGCUGUGACAUCUGCAGUGAUAAAUAUUGGCAAGCUGCUAACUGAGGAAGCCAUAUACCUAUGGGGUGUGGAGGAGGAAGUUGAUCGUCUGCAAACAGAGCUCAAAUGGAUGCAAAGAUACUUAACGGACGCAGAGACAAAACAAUCAAAGGAAGAGAUGAUUCGUCUUUGGGUUGCUGAAAUCAGAGAGCUUGCUUAUGAUGCUGAGGAUGUUGUCGAGGAAUUUGCUCUCAAGAUUGGAUCCGAAAACAAAGGAUGUCUUCCGAGUUGUAUUAAAACAUCAGCCUGCUGUUUGAAAGAGGGAUGGGCACUCCACAAAACCAGGUCAAAAAUCGAGAAAAUCAUAGAAAGAAUCAACGACUUGGUCCGACGACUACAGGCCUACGGAGUAAAGGAAUUAAAGGACAGAGAAGAAGAAUCAAGUUCUUCAACUGAAAGACGAGAAUCAAGGCGGCCUUAUCCACAUAUUAUGGAUGAUAAUAUUGUUGGACUAGUUGAUGAUACCGAGGGAUUGGUCAAAGUUCUUACGAACGAAAGUCGAUGCCAGGUUGUUACAAUAUGGGGCAUGGGUGGUCUGGGAAAGACCACUCUCGCCAAGAAAAUAUAUCACGAUCCUCAGGUUAGAAAUUAUUUCGAGCACUUCGCUUUUGUAUACGUUUCUCAACCAUGCCAGAAAAGAAAAGUUUGGGAAGACAUUCUAUCUGGUUUCAAAACUUUAAAGGACGAGGAUAGGAAGAAAAGAGAUGAAGACUUAGCAGAGAAGUUGUGUAACAUUUUGGAGGUUAAAGAGUGUCUGGUGAUACUUGAUGAUGUUUGGACCAGAGAAGCUUGGGAUAGUCUAAAACCUGCCUUUCCAGUUGCAACGGGCCGUCAUCGCAAAAGCAAGAUAUUGCUCACCUCUAGAAACAGGGGGAUAGUUUCGGAUGCUGAGAUAAGAGGUAAAAUUUUCUUAAUUAGGUAAAAUUGAAUACUCUUAUUCCUUUUAUGGAAAAUAACUAUGUAUAUUAUUUCAGAGUUGAAGUGCCUAAACGAUCAACAAAGUUGGGAAUUGCUUCAAAAGAUUGUAUCUCCUAAAACAGGUAAAUAUACGUAUAGCAAAAUUCUUGUUAUAUGCUAAAUUUAUUUUUCAUUUUUAAAUUUUUUUGACAGUAAUUGAAAUUAAAAAUAUAUAAAAUCUAUUUUAUUUCAAAAUUUCAAAACCUUAAUAUCAAAUAAAUAAAAGAAAUCAAGCCUUUGUAGUUUAUCAAUUAAUGGUACACGCACCUAAAUAUAAUUAAUAGGUAAAUUCAUUAUCUUUAUUAUUAUAAUUUUUUAAUAACUUUGCUAUUAUUUACGGGGAAUAAAUUACAUUAGGAUUAUCUUAAAAGAUAUAGUUUUUAGGCACCAAUAAAAUAGUGUCACAUCGUUAAAUUUUUAAGAUAACAAAGAAUUAUUAUACACUCAUUUAUAUUUAAUAUUUUCUCCAAUUUAAUUUAACUUUAAUAAAAUUAUUUAAAAUAAUUAAUUUUUUAAAUUAUAAACAAACAUCUUUUCUUCUUUUACAAAUUUUAAUCAUUUUGUUUUUUCAUAAGUUAAUGUUUUUUAUUUUUGUGCAACCAAUUUUUUUUUAAAAAAACAGUAAUUUUUGUGCAAUGUUUUUCAUAUCAUUAACACAUAAUUUUGAUAAUUAUUUUAUCCUGAAGCCAAAACUCCGAACCUUGAACUCGAACCCUGAACCUAAAUCUUGAACCCUGAAUCUUGCAGUUAAAGGUUUGGUUUCUAGAUUUAAAGUUCAAAAUUCGAGGUUCAAGUUUAAAGUUUAAGGGUUCAGGGUUAUGGGUUACGAAUUUAGGAUUCAUGGUUUAAGGGUUUGGGGUAGCGAGUUUGGGGUUUUAUAUGUUUGUUUAGUUUCUUAAGCACUUUCAUGCUAUUCUUUUAUAUGUUUUUUUUUCUUAAGAAAUACAAAUUGAUUUUAUAAUUUAAAUUCAGGACUCAAACAUCACUUAAUUAAAAUAAUAAUUAAUCAAUUCUCGUUUUUUUUUUUGCCACAAAAACAUUCAUUCCAGAAAGAAUAACCAGACAUAGGAAGUCUAAAACACUAAACCAGAUAAACUAACAUGAAAAAAGCACAGUAUUCACUAAGCUUAUCCUGGAUCCUUGCAUCAGAAAGAUGGAGGCGCAGGUAAACCAUUCUUAUUAAGAGUAAAGCCAAGAAAGAUGGUAGUUGAUUCGAACAACCAACACAUCUCUUUACGACCCUAUUUAGCAAACCAAUCCGCUAACUUAUUGGCUUCUCGUCUAAUAACAUUGACUUUCAAAGAAGAAAGUUGCAUGACCAGCUUAUCAAAAACCUGAAGGACUAGCCUUAAUCUCCAUCUUCGAUCUUGACUCUUCUCAAUAUUCGAAAAAAUAGUCUGGGAGUCAGUCUUGAUUGUCACAUUGCUCCACUUGUUCUUCAUAGCUAAUUCAAUCCAUCCAACCAUAGCUUUAGCCUCGACAACCUGACAUGAAUCCACUUAAUCCUUUUACCAAUCCCAUCCAGCAUCUUCCCACUUAAAUUUCUGCCUAUUACUCUAAUACCAGCACAAGCUAUCAAGGUGUCAAAUGCCCCAUCACAAUUUAACUUUAACCCAACCUUCUGGUGGUUUCUCCCAAAUAUCAGCACAAGUUUUUGACUUCCUAGUUCGAUCAGAGUUAUUGUUUGAACAGAGGAUCCAUUGAGCAGAUAAGAAUUCAUUCAUGGAGCAAUUAAUCCUUCGAAUAAUUCUCUCCAAACCAAGUUUCACACCUCCAAUUGUAACCUCACACCUAGCUUUGCAGAUGUGCUAGCAAGUGAAAACAAUUCUAACUUUGAAAUCCUCCCUCAUACAAGGCAUUUGUAACAACUUUGAGAACCAUCUGUCAAAUGAUUGAGUUUGAUCAUUUAUCCCUUGAAGACCAAAACAAGCCUCAUACUAUAUUCCCCUAAGAAUAAUAUGUUCAAAGUCUCAUCUUUUCCACGGAUUAAAAUGAGAUGGAAUAGCAUUAUGACACAAUUUCCAUAAGAAAAUUUUAACUUUGUUCGGUACCUGUAAGCUCCAAAUAGCUUUCCAAGUGCUCCUAUCAAUUAAGUGAGAGCUGGAAGGUUGUAAAGAAGACUCAUUUCCAUAGUGCUUUCUCAACUCCUUGUACCCUGACUUCAUCGGAUAUUGACCAACAGCUGUAAACGGCCAUACCAAUUUAUCUUGUUCAUUUGUUUCGUGAAGGGGAACUUUUAAUUUCGCAAUUUCAAUAUCUUCUAACCACAUUGAGAUACUGGGUAAGUCCCAAUUUAGUUGUUCUAAACAAAUGAUCUCAGCAACUCGUGUUGGUGAGGAUCUGUCAAUAUUUCCAGGAUGCUUUAAUUCCCUAUCUUUAACUCCCAGCAAUCAUCUAUCUUCCCAAAUGCAGAUGCUUUCGCCAUUUUGCACUUGCCAAAUCAAAGUCUUCUUUUAAAAACUCUUUCCCUUCAAGAAUGCUACUCCACACCCAUGAUGACCUAGCUCCUUUUUUAGCUUCAAGGAAAUUAGAAUUCGGGAAAUAAAGUCCUUUUAAAAUCCUACCCCAAAGAGCAUCAGGAUCCUGGACUAACUGUCAAGAUUGUUUUGCAAGUAGAGCAAGGCCUCCAAGCUUUUCAAUGAAUACGUCUCUCAUUUUCCUUCUGCUGAAUUCAUUUCCACGCAUAAGUUUUUAGGAAGUUCGAAAAGAUAUCGUAUACAUUGAAGCGCAUGCUACUGCUUUAAUAAGAACCUCCCUUCCCCUUCAAGAUAACGUUUGCUGCUUCCAGCCCUAAAGUUUGGUAAGGACCUUUUUUUUUUUUGGUGAAAGUGAGGACCUUAUCUUUGAUAUGCCUCAAAGUUAAUGUUUUCGAAAGCUCCCACAAAGAAGGGACACCCAAGUAUCAACCUUUCGUUGACCCUUCGGGAGUAUUCACAGUAAAAACAUUGCUUGAUUUAUCGUACUUGACCCUUCGUCCAGAAGCUGCACAAUAUUCUUGAAAGUUCAUCAUUCUACUACAAUUUAACGAAUUAGCUUCCAAAAAGAAUAGAGAUCGUUCGCGAAUAAAAAAUGUGACACUAUUCGAUAAUGACUACCAAGGCUAAUCCCAGAAAUAAAACUAGACUCGACUCUAAGGAUAAGUUUGGAUUGGCAAUUGGGUGCGAUGCGGUGCGUUUAGCCUACUUUUUGUCUCAAGCUACAGUGUUGCUACAGUAUUUAAUCUCACCGCCACCUCUGUUUUUACACUAACCUCAGGUAAACGCACCGCCCAUCCUAACUCACCUUAAGGCUAAUUAUAUGAGAGAGGAUGUUCACAACAAAAAGGAAGAGGUAAGGUGAUAGAGGGUCACCUUCUAGAUGGAUAGAUUUUUCUAUUAGAUUUACCAUUAAUAAGCAAAGUGUAAGAAACAUUCCUCACACACUCCAUUAUCCAAUCAAUCCAUGUUAAAGCAAAUCUCAUUUUUCUUAAAAUAGUUUUCAGAAGUCCCCACUCUACUCUUUCAUGUCGAGCUUCCAAGCAACCUCAUAUUUCUUACCCCUCUUCUUCAAUUUCAAAUGAUGAAAACCUCUUGAGCAAUUAAGAUGUUAUCAUGUAUUUGUCUACCUACCACAAAAGCACUUUGAUUAUUCAUAAUCACUACCCUAGAACUCCUUUCAAUAUCUUCACCAUGAUCUUCGAUAUGAUUUUAUAGGCAAAAUUAUAAAAAUUAAUUAGUCUAAAUUAUGUAAUUAAUUGAAAACAUUUAGUCUUCAGAAUUAAAAUUAUCUUAAUCUCAUUUAAACCCAUCGAAAAUUUCCCUUCCCUAAAAAAAAAACUCUUAAUAGCUUCCAAAACAUCCUUUUUAAUAAUUUCUCAAUAAUUAUGAUAGAAAAUUCCGCUAAAAUCAUUCGCAAAAUAAGAGAUUAAUUUAAUUGUGUUGUAUGCUUAACUUGUACGAUAUAAGUAAAAUCUUAUAAUUUUAUCUCCAAAUUCUCUCAACACAAUUUUCUGACCCUUAUUUAUAAUCUCAUUUGUAUCUAACAGGAUCCAAUUUAAAGUUAAAUAGUCUUUUUUAUAUAAUGAAUUAUAUUUUUAUUCGAAUCUCCUCUUAAAUUAAUUAGAGUCUUACUUAGUAUUGACUGUUCCGUAAAGUAUUCAAAGUUUUCAAAUAGAUUCCUAUUUUUACAGUUCUUUCACGUACUUAAAUUAAUUCCUAAUUUUCCUUACUUUUUUAAAAAUAUUUAUUCCUAAUCUUUUAUACAGGAAAUAUAAUCGAUGUGAAAAUGAUAGAGUUGGGAAAGAACAUGGUUAAACAUUGUGCAGGGUUGCCAUUAGCCAUUGUUGUAUUGGGAGGAAUUUUGGCUACAAAGAAAAAUUCGUUAAUCGAAUGGCAAAAGAUAUCUGACAAUGUAAAAUCAUACUUGAAGAGAGGCAAAAAUCAAGGACCAGAGGAUGUGUUAGCAUUAAGUUAUGAUGAUUUGCCUCCCUAUCUAAGACCAUGUUUCCUCUAUCUAAGCCAUUUUCCGGAGGAUUAUAUGAUAGAUGUGGAUAGAUUGAUUCAAUUAUGGGUUGCUGAAGGUAUUGUGUCAUCAAAGGAAGAAGAAAGAGACGGCGGGGAAAUUGCGGAAGAUGUGGCGGAAUCUUAUUUAAUGGAGCUUGUGGAAAGGUGCAUGAUUCAAGUACGAGAAAGAAAUGUGGCAGCCUCAGAGAUCAGAGCGACCUUAAAGGUCAAAACGAUUCAGAUGCAUGAUCUGAUAAGAGAUCUUUGCUUAUCAAAGGCAAAACAAGAGAAAUUUGUCUUCAUUGUUGAUGGAUCGAAUGCAUCUUCAUUAUCUAUGAUUCGGAAGGUUCGUAGGGUUUCUGUGCAUGAGUCUUUUUUCAUACAAUGCAUUAAAAGUCCAAAUAUUCGGUCACUUUUGUUCUUCAAUCAGUUCUUUCCGGAGGAGGCAUUAGAAAAAUCUUUUCCCUUGGAAGUGUUGAACUACGUUAAAAAACAUUGUGACGAUUGUUGUAAUCCACUAUUUUGGAUUCUUCUGAUUUCGGUAGGUUCUACAAGACGUCUUAAAAUUCGGGAAUUUUGGAGAUACAUGUUCAACAACUUCAAAUUGCUGAGAGUCCUAAACUAUGACAAAGGAAGAACGUCAUAUGGUUUUUGGACCGGGUGGGAUUUACCCAGUGAUAUAGGGAAUCUCAUCCAUUUAAGAUUCUUGAGUCUAAAGGAUCUUGUGUUCUUAUGGCCAAAGUUGCAAUCAUCUCUAGGCAACUUAAGGUGCUUGCAAACCUUGGAUUUAAGAGUUAAUUUUCCCGAAAUUCAUGUACCUAAUGUGAUAUGGAGGAUGGAGCAACUAAGACAUUUAUAUCUCCCUUUCGACUGUGAAAGCAGUACUAAGUUGAACUUGGGUACUUUGAGAAAACUCCUAACACUUGUGAACUUCAACACCAAGAAUUGUUAUCUGAAGGAUCUUAUCAACAUGACAAAUCUUAGAGAGUUGGAGAUAAAUUUGCCCUUCAAUAUUGAAAAUUUCAAUGAGUCAGGCGAGAAUCCACCCAUAAUCGGUGGUAAAUAUCUUCAUUCCCUGUUUAUUAUUGCCAUUGGGGAAUCCGGCUCAGAAAUAGAUCCAAGACAUUUGGCCCACCUCCUUUCAAAUUGUACAAGUAUUUGCCAGUUGAGUAUAGCAGCAGAGAUAAGUAAGUUACCAGAGUAUCAAUACUUCUCUUCACAUCUCGCUUACAUACGGUUGAGUUGGUGCAAGUUUGAGGAAGAUCCAAUGCCAACACUAGAGAAGCUGCCUAACUUAAGGAUUCUUGAAUUCAAAUAUACUUUAGAAGGAAAGGAAAUGUUUUGCUCUGCUCAGGGUUUUCCUAAACUUGAGUCUCUAAUCCUUGAACAGCUCGGCAAAUUGGAGGAGUGGAAGGUGGAUGAAGGAGCCAUGCCUUCUCUUCAGCGAUUGGAGAUUAGGGAAUGCGGAAACUUGAAGAUGCUUCCAGAGGGAUUGAGGUUUAUUACAACCCUCAAAGAACUGAAGAUUGAAUCAAUGCCAAAGGCAUUCAAAGAUAGAUUGGAGGAAGGAGGAGAAGAUUUCUACGAAGUCAAACAUGUUCCUUCUAUCAUAUUCCAAAACAUCUUGCGCUAAGAAAUUGAAUGAUAAUUGAGAGGUAAUUUCAUAACCUCUAGUUUAGGAAAUGAUUCCUACUUUCUUUGCUGCUUAUAUAUCUUUCGUUUUUGACAAUGUCUCACCUUCUCACUCCAUUUGUCAUCACACCAAUGAAUAAUUACAUUUAUUAAAAGUCAAAGGAAGUCAGACAUUGAUCUUUUUAGUUUUGCUUUUCAGGUAAAGACGCCAUUUUUUCACCUGCACUGCUAUUCACGGGAUCAAAUCUAGAUUUAAAACUCCUAUUAUAAGUGGCGUGUGAAAGUGUGUUAUAUGGUGAGAUUUGGAAUUAUCUUCUCUCUUGUAUAUAUCUAUGGUUGAUGACAUCAGACUGGUUGACUGUUUGUUGUUUUCUUCAAAUUACAAUAAAACGGUUGCAAGAUAAGGUAUGGGAAGAAUGGGAGGUGUCUGGUUUAGCAAGGUACCAAACCCCUCCGCCAUUUCAAUUUCCUUCAAUCUAAGUUAAUUACACAUUCAUUUUUGUCUUUUAAAACGUAAAAUUGCAGAUAAGGAGACGUCAUUGACCUUUGUUCCGACAUAGCUUUGGUUUGCGGUGACUGUUCCUAUAUUUAUUUGUUGGCUUUGCUUUCUCUUUCCUUUUUCUUUUCCCUACUUAAGGCUGCUUUAGUCUUUCUCUUUUAUUUUUUUAUAUGUACUUAAUGUAAUAUUAGAAGCCAAGGCAGGACCAUGCUUUUCUAUUGUAAAAUUCUUCACUUCGUUGUCUAUGUUCAUUUCUACUCUUCAGUUUACUUUAUAUAAUUGUUUGAUAUAUAUUUGAAUAUGGAGAAUAUAAUCUUUUUAAUAUAUACAUAUUUUAGAAAAAAUUGAAUAUAAGUAUGUUGGACACAUUUCCUAUUUCAACAUAUUUCCUUAUUUUAUGCAAGUCGAUUGGUAUUCAACAUAAUCUUUUCUGUCAUCCUUAACUCAAUAAUCUUUGUUACGAUAUCAUAUCAAGUUUAAUGGUUGCACUUCAUCCCCACACUUCCAAAGCAAAAAGUAGGAAAAAUUAAAUCUUACCAAGUAAUAACACUUCCCAAAUACAUUGUCUUACAAAAAAAAAAAAAAAAGAAAGAAGAUACAAUUUGAAAAUUUUUUUUAAUCAACAUUUGAUGGUUUAGCAAGCUAUGCUUUAUAAUAGGCAAAGGAUUCCAAGAGAAUCAAAGAUUCCAAAAUCGAUAUUUGGAUUCAAGAUUUUGUAUCCCCUUUCUUUGCUUCUUAUAUCUACCAACAAUAUCUUGAUGAUAAUAAACUUAAAAAAAAUAUUCAAGGGAAUUGAAGAUCCUAAAUCUAACUUAAACGGUUGAAAAUUUCACAUCCACUUAAUUAAUUCAAAUGAUAUUUAUUCAAUAAGCUUAAAGUAAAAACUGCAAGAAUCUUCAUUUGUCUUUUAUUCGAAAUGUAAUUGGGAUUCAAUGAAAAUAUUGAACAUAUAAUGUGUGCACAUGGAAAUGUCCAAAUCUUUAAAUAUAGGGUCCACAUGCGAGAAAUCUCUUAACACCCAACGUUAAAGAUUUAUAAAAUUCAAUAUGAGCCUAUUAUUUUCGUUAUAAAACUCAAUAUCUUAUUUGGAUUAGGAUACGAGCGAAUAACAGCUAACUAUUUGUAGUUCAAGGUGUGAUAAAAUCUCAGUAGCUAAGAUAUGAAUGUUGCAAAAUACCAUACAAAAUCACAGCCACAUUUGUUAGUAUGACUAUUUUGGGUAAUCAAAGGAAAAAAAUGUUAGCUGUUGAGCAAACAAGGUGAACAAAUUAGAUAUUCCAAUUACGUUCAAGCACUUGACAAAUCCUUUCUGCAAUGGCUUCAGCACGCAUCCUUAAUUUAAUUUCUUAUCAUACGUUUUUGCAUGUAUCAUAAGAAAUUAAAUUAAGGAUUUUCUACUGCAAACCUACCAUGAAAACAUAAUUUUUAUUAGGAUCAAAGGCAUAGCCCAUCAUGGCAGCAUUAUUGAGUCCAUUUUCAGAGGAAAAUCCUGAAACAUGUUACAGGCAAAUAUUAAGAAAAACAACGCACAAGCAUAAGUAUAAAAAACCUAGCAUGUAAGAAAUCAAUACUUGAAAGGAUUAAAAUCACUGCUAACCUAAGACAUUGAAUCUAGCACCACUAGGAAACAUCCGAAAUGAUACUUGUCUUUCAAUGUUGAGAUACAUAGGUCCAAGUCUGCCAUGUUGCGCCAAACGGGAAUUCAUCAACCUCUUGAGAACCUAAAGGAUGAAAAGUUCCAGUCCAAGUUAUAUAUAUACAGACACACACACAGAUAGACAUGAAGAAAGUGGGUUACUGGUGUAUUAUUUAAGUAAAGAAAAAGUUGAAAUCUUGAACCUCUAAAUAUUGGGUAACAGCUAGUGUUAAAAGUGCAUAAAGUUCUGCUAUUAUCUACAAGAAACAAAGGAGGAAUCACAUACAUUGUUUAUAUUCACUUUUCUUGCUACACAAGCAAGCUGACUCCAUAUACAAAAGCAUAUCUUUUUCUCCGUUUUUAAAUGGUUUUUUUGUUUUUCGGCUGCUUUUUAUAUUAAGAGACAGAGAUUGUGAGACCUCGUCAUCCUCAAGGAGUAAAUGGUCAAGCAUGGAGAUGAUGGGAAGACCAUGAGUCGAUGGUGGUCGAUCCAUGAGUUGAUUAUGAAUAGUUUCAUGUUAUGAAAUAAAAAUGUUAGCUAAAGUUAGUUGAACGCUGUGUUUUAGGGCCGAGGGUUUAAUGAAACUAUAAGUUUUGAUGUUGAAUGAAAACGGUGCGUAUUGAUGGUUUGCUACAACUGCUCGAGGAACAGCCCUAUAACAGACUUUGUAACUGCCAANNNNNNNNNNNNNNNNNNNNNNNNNNNNNNNNNNNNNNNNNNNNNNNNNNNNNNNNNNNNNNNNNNNNNNNNNNNNNNNNNNNNNNNNNNNNNNNNNNNNNNNNNNNNNNNNNNNNNNNNNNNNNNNNNNNNNNNNNNNNNNNNNNNNNNNNNNNNNNNNNNNNNNNNNNNNNNNNNNNNNNNNNNNNNNNNNNNNNNNNNNNNNNNNNNNNNNNNNNNNNNNNNNNNNNNNNNNNNNNNNNNNNNNNNNNNNNNNNNNNNNNNNNNNNNNNNNNNNNNNNNNNNNNNNNNNNNNNNNNNNNNNNNNNNNNNNNNNNNNNNNNNNNNNNNNNNNNNNNNNNNNNNNNNNNNNNNNNNNNNNNNNNNNNNNNNNNNNNNNNNNNNNNNNNNNNNNNNNNNNNNNNNNNNNNNNNNNNNNNNNNNNNNNNNNNNNNNNNNNNNNNNNNNNNNNNNNNNNNNNNNNNNNNNNNNNNNNNNNNNNNNNNNNNNNNNNNNNNNNNNNNNNNNNNNNNNNNNNNNNNNNNNNNNNNNNNNNNNNNNNNNNNNNNNNNNNNNNNNNNNNNNNNNNNNNNNNNNNNNNNNNNNNNNNNNNNNNNNNNNNNNNNNNNNNNNNNNNNNNNNNNNNNNNNNNNNNNNNNNNNNNNNNNNNNNNNNNNNNNNNNNNNNNNNNNNNNNNNNNNNNNNNNNNNNNNNNNNNNNNNNNNNNNNNNNNNNNNNNNNNNNNNNNNNNNNNNNNNNNNNNNNNNNNNNNNNNNNNNNNNNNNNNNNNNNNNNNNNNNNNNNNNNNNNNNNNNNNNNNNNNNNNNNNNNNNNNNNNNNNNNNNNNNNNNNNNNNNNNNNNNNNNNNNNNNNNNNNNNNNUUUCGGAACAAAACCAUGCCGUACCAUUUGUUUCAAAGCCCAAUCAACUUCCUUUACCAUCUUCCCCUUACAAAAACCAUGAAUCAACUUCUUGUAUGAAUCAAAACUAGGAUUAACCCUCUCGAAAGCCACAUUUGUUAGUAUGACUAUUUUGGGUAACCAAAGGAAAAAAAAAUGUUAGCUGUUGAGCAAACAAGGUGAACAAAUUAGAUAUUCCAAUUACGUUCAAGCACUUGACAAAUCCUUUCUGCAAUGGCUUCAGCACACAUCCUAGGACCUUCAUCAUCUGCAAAAACCGACCAUUUCUAACAACUAAGCUAACAUCACACAUGAUAAUAUAUGUAUAUAACAUAUAUAGAAGAUGAGUAUGUGGAUUAAAAGCUAUGUUAGUUUGACUCAAUACAUGACCAUGGGACAUGCACGAUUCUUCAAUAAUGAUACGAAAAUAAUUGGAAGAAAAAUUAAAUACAUCAAUAUCUAACAUUUACAUCUGAGUAUGUUUAAUGGUACUCUUUCUUUAGCCAAAUUUUGGCUUCUUUUAGUAGCUAUUCUGACCCAUUUUUCUUUGACCAAAAUGCCCUUGAACAUGUCUUUUUAUUGGGGUUUUAGUUGGACAAGGACUACCCCUGAUGUCAUUUUUGGUCCCCUCACGACAAUAUUGCAAUAACCAACACAGGGUAUCGUGAUAUCGUGGACUGUCUCAAAUGAGGGUCUUCUUUGGUAGCUGGGUAUCACAAUACCUAAGGGGGAUAUCAUGAUACCACUAUAGGUGGUCUUCAUUUCAAGCUUGUGGGAGGUAUCGCUAUGUCCAUGUUGUGAUGUCGUGAUACCCCUUUCCUUAUGUUUUUGCACAAUUUCGGGUCACCGUCAAGUUCCUACAACACUUAAUUGAUCGUUAGGGUCCAAAUGGCACAUUUAUCAAUUUGAGUCUCAAAAUGAGCACAAAACACAUUAAACAUUUAUUAAAUCAAAAAUAAAAAUCUACGCUAAACUACGGAAAAACACUAAUUUGCUUGAAAACAAGCUCUUUAAGUAUAAUGAGGAACCCUAAAUUGACAUAUCAAAUUAUUGUAACUUAGUUGUCUUUUUGAUUCGAACCCACAACCUGAGUUGUUGAGUUGAUCACCCAAUGUCACUAGGCGAAGAGUUUGGGUUCUAUGUACUAACUUGAAGUUGAGGCAUAUUAUAAAGAAGAUUUCAAUUUGACAUGUUUAAUUUUUUUAAUUUAACUCGAAUAAAUUUAUUUAACUCGACUUAAAUUUUAUUUUACUCAACUUGAUUAAAAAAAUUUCAAAUCAAGUUAAGAUGAUAAAAUAGGAUUCAUGAACUUGAUGUAGUCGAAAUUUUUUUUACUAGAUUCGAUCAAACGCUCAACCUGUUAGGUGAGAUGAUGUUUAGGGAUUUGAUUUGUAAAAUCAUUUUUUUCUCAAUCAUUCCUCAUAAUAUAGAAAAUAAUAAGUUAAGUUAUGCCAUUAGUCCUUGUACUUUACAAAAAGUUGUGGAUAUAAUCUAUAUACUUUAGUUUGGUCAUUUUUAAUAAAUGUACUUUUCAAAUUUGAAAAUUUCAAUCCUCACCAAACGAUAACUGUUAAAUUCAUUAAGUUAAGCUUUGUUAUUUUCAAAAUAUUACAUGACAAACAAAUUAUUAUAUGUGUAAUGCCAUGUCAACUUGUUAUUUUGACAUAUUACUCACCAAAAUUUCACUUAAUGGAUUAACGACUUUCAUUCAUGUGGAGACUAAAAUUUCAAAAUUCAAAAGUAGAGGGACUUAAAAUGAUCUAAUUGGAGAAAAUAGACUAAAUCUAUAACUAUACUCAUAGUAUAAGACUAGUAAUUGAAUUUAUCCAAAUAAAUUUAAUUGCUACAGUUUGGGUUAAAACUAAAAUUUCAAAAUUAAAAAAAAAUACAGAAAUUGAAGUUGACAAAUUCAAAAAAAUAUACAUAUUAAAAUUGAUCAAAUUAAAAGUAAACUGACUAACCUUAAUUUUUCUGAUAAUCUUUCUUUUCCCUUAAUUAAAUGACCAUGAUGUAUACUAUAUAUCUUAGUAUAUAAAUAUUUUAAAAAUAAAUAAAUAUAUGUAUGUUGGACACAUAUUCAAGUUUGAUAUUCGUCUUAAAUAUAUGUAUGUUGGACACGUAAUCUUUUUCAUUGUUUAAUAUCCUAAUCCUUAAUUAAUUUAAUAAUAUUUGUUACGAUAGGGUCUAAUGGCUGCAAUUUAUCUUGACACUUUCGAAGCAAAAAAUAAAAAAUAAAAAAAUCAAAUUUCACCGAUUAAUUACAUGCCAACACAUAUAACCCACGAUAUGUUUAUCUCAAAGAUUUAAAUAAGAUAAACUAAAUCACAAAGAAAACAAACGAGUAAACAUAAUCUAGAAAUUCCAAAUUUACAUUAUCUAACAGAAAUUCAAUAAGAAAUAAAAGGUUGCAUUUCAUUCUUUAGGGAUUUGCUCUUAUAUCUUCCAACAAUAGCUUGAUGAUAAUAAGCUGAAAAAGAAAAGGAGUCCAAGGGAAUUGAAGAUUCUUAAUUCAGCUAGCUUAAUUGAUUGAAUACUUCAAAUACACUUAAUUAAUACCAAUGAUAUUUAUCAAUAAAUCUAAAAUUUGCAUCCUACUUUGUAAAAACUGCCAGAAUGAAAUCAAAUUAUCUGAUUUCAAUUCUCUUCAAAUUUUAGUUUACAACUUCUAUUUUUGGGUUUCCAUUUGUUUCAACUUUUAAAGCAAGCAUUGAUUCAAGAAAUAUUUAUUUCAUUUGACUUAUUUGCUUUUCUAAUUUUAUGUUAUUCAGAUUCGAUGAAAAUAUUGAACAUAAUAUGUGUGCAAGUCAAGAUGUCCGAGUCUUACAAUGUAAGGUUGAAACGGGAGAAAUAUCCUAAAAGCUGAUGCUAAAAGAUUUAUAAAAUUCAGUAUAAUCAUUUUGUUUUCAUUAUAAAACUCAAUGUUAAAAUGUCUAUGAUUCGAGAUUAUGAUACAAGAGAAAAAUAGCUAACUAUUUUAAGUUCAAGGUGUGAGAAAAUCUCAAUAGCUAAGAUAUGAAUGUUGUAAAAUACCACUCAAUCACACAGAAAUAUAUACACACAGAAAUACCACUCAAUCACAGCCACAUUUGUUAGUAUGACUACUUUGGAUGAAAAGUUCUAUUCCAAGUUAUAUAUACACACAGAAAUACACAUGAAGUGGAUUAAUGGUGUAUUAUUUAAGUAAAGAAAAAGGGUUCUAACUAGAAGAAAGAGUUGAAAUCUUGAACCUCUAACUAUUGGGUAACCGCUGGUGUUAAAAAGUACAUAAAGGUCCGCGCUUAUCUACAAAAAAACAAUGGAGGAAUCACGUUCAUUGUUUAUAUUCAUUUUUUUUGCUCCACAAGCAAUCCAAAACCAUAAACAAAGGAAUACUUUUUUUCGCCUUUUUAAAUGGUUUUCUUGUUUCUUUUUCGCUUUUUAAAUUCUUCAUUCAAUUCAAGUUCAAGAAACCAUACUAAAUAUAUAUAUUUAUAUUUAUAUUCACUUUUCUUGCUACACAAGCAAGCCAAAAUCAUAAACAAAGGCACGCUUUUUUUUUCCCUUUUUUUAAUGAUUUUCUUGAUUCUUUGUUGUUUUUAAAAUUCUUCAUUCAAUUCAAGUUCAAUAAACCAUAUUAAAUAUAUAUAUUUAUAUUCACUUUUUUUUGCUACACAAGCAAGCUGAAACCAUAAACAAAGGCAUACAUUUUUCUCCUUUUUUAAAUGGCUUUCUUGUUUCUUUGUUGUUGUUUUUAAUUCUUUGCUCAAUUCAAGUUCAAGAAUCCAUACUAAAUAUAUGUGUUUAUAUUCACUUUUCUUGCUACAUAAGUAAGCUGAAACCAUAAACAAAGGCAUACUUGUUUUCCUUUCUUACCGUUGCUACCUUUUAGAUUCUUUAUUCAAUUCAAGUUCAAGAAAUCAUACUAUAUAUAUAUAUUCACUUUUCUUGCUACACAAGUCAACCGAAACCAUAAACAAAGGCAUAACUUUUUCGCUUUUUUUUAAAAUGAAUUUUUCUUUGCUGCUUUUUAAAAUUUUUAUUCAAUUUAAAUUCAAAAAACCCUACUAAAUAUAUAUAUAUAUAUAUAUAUAUAUAUAUAUAUUAAGAGAGAGACCUCAUCAUCCUCAAGCUUGAUGGGAAGGCCACAAGUCGGUGGUCGUCAAAUCAUGAGUUGAUUAUGAGUAGUUUCAUGUUAUGGAAAAAAGAUGUUAGUUAAAAUUAGUUAGUUGAGAGUUUAAUGAAACGAUACGUUUUGAUGUUUAAUGAAAACGGUGCGUAUUGAAAGUUUGAUACAACUAGUCGAGUAACAAGCCUUUAACAAACUUUGUAACUACCAAUUCUGAAGCCUUACAGGAACUGCCAACUUUUGAUUUUGUUUGUAAUCCUCGCUUUAAAAAAAUAUUCCAAAUAUGCUUCCUCACCUUAUCAUUUUUGUUAUUUUUCAAGUGCCCUUACCAUUCUAUAUUUUCAAUGGUUAAAUUGUAAAAAUGGUUACCUAAUUAUUGCUUUCGUUCUAUUUUAAUCACUAAAUCGAUUUAGUUAUUAAAAUUUUCGAAAUUAAAUAUUUUAAUCACUCUCAGUUAUCUUUAGAUGAGUGAUAGGAAGUUAAUGUGAGCUGUUUUUAUUGGUCUAAUAACAAAUUUAAUCAUCUAAUGUUUACACAUUCUAUUAAUUUAAUUUUAAAUAUAAAAUGUUCAACAGAUUUAACCCUAAAUAUUUACAAAAUCUAUUGUUAUAGUUCGAAUCCUAAAAAUUUCAAUAAGUUUAGUCCUCAAAAUUUGUAAAUUUAAUUUUAAUUCCAAAAAUUUUAGAAAAAGGAAAGAUGUAUUUUAUGUUAUAUAAAAGAAAAUCUAGCUCCAUCCAACAUUUUAAAUUCUUUUCUUUUUUCUUCACAUUUUCAUGGCAACGAAAAAACCAACUCAUGGAUGAAUUAAGCAAAUUAAUUAAAAUCAAAUAAAUCGAACAAGGAUUUUAAUUAAAAAGAAAUUCUUCACAUGCAUCAAGGAGGGACUUCCUCUGGUGGUAUCAAGGGGAUUGAUAGAAACAGCUCAGGCUCGAACAAGAACUUCAUUGGGCUUAAGAUCAGGAACAGACACAUCGGACCAAAGCUGCAACACCUCAGGUCCUCCGAACCGAGGCAGCAAUACCGCACUGUAACUGUUGACAUAGCACCGAAUUGAACCCACUUUCAACGAUAACUCCAUAAAGGGUUUAGGUUUUAAGCUUUGAAGUUCCCUUUUUUCUACUCAAAUUUACUGAAUUUCAGCUCCUUCCUUUUGUUAAAUGAAGGAAAAGCAGAGGAGAGACACGGAAGUGUUUUAAUCCACAUAGAAAAAAGUGAUUGUGUGACUUGUGAGUGGGGGCCUAUGGGGCGUGGAAGAAGAAGAUGAACAUUGCAUAAUCAAUUUUUAAUUGCUUAUUACAUUCAUAAUUUAAUAAAUAAAAAUUUCUAACCUUAUCUAUUAAAUCAAGUUAGAAUGUUCAACUUAAUUUUUGUUUGUUAUAAGUAUCACAUAUUAUAAAAAUUAAUUAUAUUUUAAUAAUUAUAUAAUAUUGAUUGAGUUAUUAUUUUUAAUUAUAUCAUCUGAUACCAUCUUGAGGACUAAAUUUAGAAUUAGAACUAAAUUGACAAAUUUCUGAAAUUUUGAGAUUAAAUUUAUUUUUAUUUUUAAGAAUUUGAACUAAAAUGAGAAAUUUUGUAAAUAUUGAGGAUUAAAUUUGUUGGAAAUUUUAUAUUUAGAAUCAAAUGGAUAGAAUGUCUAAACAUUAGGGGCCUAAAUUUGUUAUUAGACCAAUAAAAACAAGUUUAUACCAAUUUCCUGUAGCUCAUUAAUUGCAACUAACGAGGAAAUGAUUAAAAUAUUUAAUUUCUAAAAAUUUAAUGACUAAAUAAAAAAAUUAAUAUUUAAGUGAUCAAAAUAGAAUGAAAUCAAUAAUUUGAUGACCAUUUUUGUACUGUACCCUAUCUUAAUCCAUCUCACAACCAAAUUUCUCCGUCUUUGCCUAAUUUCUCGUCAUUGUCAAAUUUUAAUAGAAUUAACAUUUUUAUUUAAAAAAUAUCUUUAAUCAUUUAAUAUAUUUUUAAUAACUAAAUGUUAAUUCCAUUAAGAGUCAGUUUAUUUACAUGUAAAAAGUUAUAUAAUAUGAGUCUAUUGAACCGAUUCAAUCAUAAAUUUUAUUAUUAUUGGUUUAUAUAAUGGUUUGAUUUUGAAAAUAUUUGGUUUAACAUUUAGUCAUCCCUUUGAUCAAUUUUAAAUUUUAGAAAUAAUUUUGUUUUUUGUUUACAUUUAAAUGUACAGUUUCUAAUGCAUAUGUGUUACAUUUGAUUUCAAGCCAUUAAUCCUUAAUUACUUUUUAAAAUAAUAGUUCUCUUAGUUUUUAAAUAAUGUAUAAAUUUAUAAUUAUAUAAGAAAGUAAACUAUAAUAUUAAUUUUUAAAAAAUUAAGUAAAACAGAAGGCAAUAAUUUUUAUAAUAAUUAAUGAUAAAUAUGAAAAAUAUUCACAAUUAUAAAACAAACCGUUUAAGAGUAUAUAAACUACUUAUACAAAAUUUUUUUAAAUUAAAGAUGAAAAUAUAUAUAUAUAUAAAUAUACAUAAUUUAUAAGUGAAAAAUAUACAUAAUUUUAUUCAUAAAAAAUACAUAUGAUAAUAUACAGACAAGGUUAUAAAGUAAUUCAUAGGAAUAUAGCUUUCUUGUUUGUAUUCUCAUUCGGUUAUGAAUAUAGCUUUCUUGUUAGUAUUCUCAUUCUAUUUUGAACAUACCUUUCUUGCUUGUUUUCUCAUUCUAUUAUGAAUAUACCUUUCUUGUUCGUAUUCUCGUUCUAUUGAUGAUUAAUGUUGCUUUAUAAUUGUUUAUAAAUUUAAUAGAACUAUAUAUUACUACUAAAAGUAUAAAAGGGCAAUGAUUUGCAAUUGCUUUUAUAAUUAAGUACUGCUUCUUGCAAUUGUUUUCCCAGCAAGAUUGAAAUCCAAAUUCAAGAUUUUAAAGAAUUUUCUGAGCUCGAUCACUAUUAUGGCUUUGUCUGCUGUGACAUCUGCAGUGACAACAAUCGGCAACCUGCUAACUGAGGAAGCCAUAUUCCUAUGGGGCGUCGAGGAGCAAGUUGAUCGUCUGCAAACAGAGCUCAAAUGGAUGCAAAGAUACUUAAUGGACGCAGAGACAAAACAAUCAAAGGAUGAGAUGAUUCGUCUUUGGGUUGCUGACAUCAGAGAGCUUGCUUAUGAUGCCGAGGAUGUUGUCGAGGAAUUUGCUCUCAAGAUUGGACCCAAAAACAAAGGAGGUCUUGCGAGUUGUAUUAAAAGAUCAGCCUGCUGUUUGAAAGAGGGAUGGGUGCUCCAUGAAACCAGGUCAAAGAUUGAGAAAAUCAUAGAAAGAAUCAACGACUUGGUCCGACGACUACAGGCCUACGGCGUAAAGGAAUUAAAGGACAGAGGAGAAGAAUCAAGUUCUUCAACUGAAAGACGAGAAUCAAGGCGGCCUUAUCCACAUAUUAUGGAUGAUAAUAUUGUAGGACUAGUUGAUGAUACCGAGGGAUUGGUCAAAGUUCU
rnacentral:lncRNA from 1 species